rnacentral:lncRNA from 1 species
ACACUACAUUAGAAUCGUAAGACAAUGGUGUUUAAAAUUAUUAUUCUAUAGUACUUUCGGACAUUGUUUAUGUUAGCGCAAAAAAAUUGUGAAUUGGGACAUAGUGAAAGUAGAUACAUAUUAACAACCCCUUAAAUGUUACAAGCGUGAAGGAUAGGAGUUUAUAGGGAAAUAAGAAACCACAAUUGGUGCUCCCUUUGAUUCUGAUUUGCUCUUUGGUUUCUCUGAAGAAAUAGAUUUCAAUUGAGACCCUUCAGCAUGAUCAGAAACUUGUGCUGAUGAGGAUGUAGAGGGAGCAAAGCAAUUUAAGAAAACUGAAACUAAAGCCAUUUAGUUUCUCAAUUACUUUACUUUUUUUACUAUUAGUGCGUAGUUUCAGCUAAAGUGUAUGUGGUAGUUGUAAUUCCUGUUUCUAACGAAGCAAAAAGUGAUUUGAACAAGUUAAAGACAAUGAAAACUAAGGGCAAAAUAGUGGGGUGCAAUCUAAAAUUGAAUUGGAUAUUUUUAUAAUGGAUCGUGUGGUUAUAGAAUGGAACUGUGGCAAACUUGAGUAUUUAUAGGAGCCUAUGGUUGUAUCAAAAGAGAAAGGAAAAAAGAGAAGUUGCCUUAUUAGUCAUUUUGCUUAGGGAGCAAGGAGAAAAUGGGACCACAUAACAUACAUGCAUAUAUAUGAAAAAUCUAAGGUCUUCAUGGCUGCUUUUGACUAUGUUUAAUAUUCUUGUGAUCUUUACUAUGUUGUCAUGUUCUUAGCUAAAGUUACCACCUUGGAACUUUCCUAAGUUGAGAAGAACUUGUCAUUUAGGUGCUCUUGGAUUAUAAUGGCCUUAUGAGUGAUCAAACCACGUGUCCUUUAAGUAAAUAUGUGAAACUACUUAUGAAUAUUCACUUCAGGUGGACAUAUAGCAUCACUAUAAUUGGGUUUCUGGAAGAUAAUAUUUUGUUUCAAAAAAUUUGCUGCCACAUGUAUAAACUAUUUUAUUGACCUUACAUCUUUGAAGGAUUAAUCUCAAAUGAUUGAUUAACAGAUACUCUAUUAGAUACUUUUAAUAGAGAACUAAAUAUAAAGCUAAUAUAUAUUUAAUUCAUAUUAUAAUUUUCUCACCAAUAAAAAUCAAGUCUUACUUAAGACAGGUGAUGUAGCUCCCUUUCAAUGGGAAUAUAUAAAAAUUUCGGGGUAAUCAUGAUUGGUUUGUAUCAGUUUUUAUCCAAACAAAAUCAUUAAGUCCAAAUAUGUAAUUAACUUAUGGUUCGAUUUGGUUUGUUUACAUUAAGAUAUCUAAUCCAAUCUGAUCCAUAUAUUAUAUGUGGUUUAAGAUUUAAUUUGGAUCUAUUUUUAAUAAAAGAUUGAUAUUACACAUACAUUUCAAAACUCAUAAAAAUGACUAACAUAUUAAAUAUAAUACACUUAAAAUAUUAAGGUAAUUUAGAAAGAAAAAACAAAGAAUUUAAGCAUCCGCUGCAAAAAGCAGCAGCAAAAAAAAUAUUCAACAACAAUAGAACAACAACAAAAAAAGUGUUCAAUAAAAAAAGUGUUAAUAAUGGCAAAAAAAUAAUAUUCAAUAACAUUGAUAUAUUGGUAUAAGACCCUGCUAGAUCACCAGAAUAACCAAAAGGUUAAAAGUUCGAUUCUUAGAAAUAACACUUAUUGGGAGGGACAACCACACACCCUGAAAGAAAUUAGUCCUUACAAAAUAGGUAAAUAAUACCCUUGGUAGUACAAAAAACGUCGAAACAUCAACAGAAAAUAACAGGUGUUAUACAGUUAAAGUAUUAAACAUAAAGUUUUACCCUAUUACUUCAGUCCAGUUUGGAUCAAUCUAGAUCAUAGAUUUGGAACAAAAAACUGAAUUAAAUCGAUUGGUUUAAAUAAUAUAUCCAACACAAUCAAACAUGACUUGAUUUUUGCAAUUUUGGAUCGAUCUUCAAUUUUAUUUUUAAAUUGGUUUGGAUUUUAACACCCUAAAAAAUUAGUCAUGGGAAAAUGAGUACCUAAAUUAGGUUUUCCUAACAAUAGUAAUUCUUCAAUAAUUUUGUCCCACUCAAACGAAGUAGCACAUAACUUAAAUAGGGUCUACGUAAAUUUGGUGGAAACAAACAUCCUAACCCUUUAGUCCAUGACCAAGUUUAAUUAUAUUUAUUACUGAAAUAAAUUCGACACGCCCAUUUUCAAACAUAAACGAUUUUGCAUUUAUUUAGUCCAUAACUUUAAAUGAGUAAAAUCCUUGCAACAAAACUAGCAUAAGAAAGACCAUACGAUCAAAUAAACAAAAGUACUUACAUUUUAAUAUAUUCUUUGUUUGUCGAACAUUAUCUUAUAUAUUCUUUGUUUCAGCUCAACACGUUAACUAGUGACAUUAUUUUAAAAAAGAAGGAUGGAACUUUGUAUUUAAAAUUAUAGAGGAAUGAACAGUUGUAUAUAUAUUUACUGAGUUUGAGUAGUUGUUUUACAAAGAUAUUUAUACAGCAAAAGUAAAAAUAACUGUAAGGGAGAGGAGGCCUAAAUACACGGUACCCACUCAACUACAUAAAAAGGAGUAGGAAAGAAAUAGUCAAAGAGUGCCUAGAAUUUAGGAAUGAAUAUCUGUAGUUGUUAGCCCCUGGCAGGCGCAAGAUCGGGACGAACUUGAAGCUUGGAACGAAGUAGAGCAAGGCGAUCUUUAGUCAAAGGCUUGGUGAAGAGAUCAGUCAAUUGGUCCACAUAUGAUACAUGGCAUAUUUUUAGAGUGCCAUUUACAACUUGUUCACGGACGAAAUGGAAAUCCAAGGCAAUGUGCUUCGACCUGGUACUUAUGACUGGAUUCCUGCUCAUGAAAAUUGCUCCCACAUUGUCACAUAACAAUAAAGGAGGUUGAUGAAAUAGAGCAUGGAGAUCAGUAAUAAGUUGUUUGAUCCACAACAGAUCAACAACGGUGUAGGCAACUGAACGAUAUUCUACUUCUGUACUAGAGAGAGCUACAACGUGUUGUUUUCGAGAAGUCCAGCUGAUAAGAUUGGAACCAUGGAAAAUGGCAUAACCAUACUGAGACUUGUUGUCAUCUUUGUCAGAAAUCCAACCUGCAUCAGAGUAAGCAAGAAGGGAUGUGGCCUUUGUAGGAGUAAAAUGAAGGCAGUAAUGUAAAUUGCCCUUUAAAUACCGCAUAAUUCUUUUGGUGGCUUGCUAAUGGAGAGUAGUUGGUGAGUGCAUAAACUGACAGACUUGGUUCACUGCAUAGGCAAUGUCUGGACGAAUGAUGGUAACAUAUUGAAGAGAACCCACAAUCUGGAAAAAGAGUGUUGGAUCAUGGAAGGGAUCCCCUUGACGGGUGAGCCUGGAAUUAGGGUCAGCGGGUGUGGAAAUGGCAAAAGCUUCAGUCAUUUUGUUACGGUGAAGAACAUCCUGAAUGUAGUGUUGUUGUGAGAGUGUGUUACCCCGUAGAAGACAUGCUGAUUUGCAAGCCCAAGAAAUAAUGUAAAUUGCCCAGAUCUCUGAGUGCAAACACCUUAUGUAAUUGAGUGGUGAAGCGUUGAAUGUGAAAUGCAUUGGUACCUGUUAUGAUUAAAUCGUCCACAUAGACAAGAAUGUAAAUGAUGGAGAGGGAAGAGAUGUGAACAAACAAGGAGUUGUCUGACUGACAGGCUCAAAAUCCAUGAGUAACAAGAUAAUGCUUGAGCUUAUUGAACCAUGCACGAGGUGCCUGUUUGAGACCAUAAAUUGCCUUGUGAAGACGACAUACAUGGGAAGGACGAGAAGGAUCUUGAAAGCCUGGUGGUUGUUUCAUGUACACCUUUUACUGAUAAGUCACCAUUGAGGAAAGCAUUGUUGGUAUCAAGUUGUCGAAUACACCAACCAUUAGAAUGAGCAAUUUAAAGUACCAACCGAAUUGUAGUGAGUUUAAUAACCGGACUGAAUGUAUCAAAAAAAUCAAUACUCGCCUGCUGAUUGAAUCCUUGUGCCACCAAACGAGCUUUGUGACGCUCAAUCAAAUCAUUCGAGUUCCUUUUAAUCCUGAAAAUCCACUUACAACCGACAAUAUUAACAUUAGUAGGACAAGGAACAAUAGACCAUGUGUUAUUUCGCAUGAGAGCAUCAUAUUCACUUUUCAUUGCUUGCUGCCAGGAAGUAUGAUUGACGGCUUGGGUAUAGUUGUGAGGUUCAAUGGCAGAAGGGGAGAAUUUGAUUUUAAAUACUUUGGGUUUCAAGGAAUUGGUUUGAGCUCUAGUGAGCAUAGAGUGGGUUUUAUUUGGAGGAGGCCGAUAAUAGGAGGUGUUGGGUUGGUUGUGUUUGGCACAUGAGCUUAUGGUGGAUUGUUGAUAUAGAGGACUACUGGAAGGAGUGAGUUUCAUGUGGAGGGGAUGAUGGGACAUGUGGGUAUGAAAGUGGCAAUAUAGCAGCAUGUUGAAGGAGUUGCAGUGAACUUACUAGUGGUGCUGACAUGGGUGAAGGAACCAUGGUGGAGGACAUGGAAGCAUAUGGAAAGACUUCCUCAUUAAAAACAACAUGACGGGAAACAUAUAUUCGGGAAGACGGUUUGUGAAAGCAAAGAUAACCUUUAUGUGUGACACUGUAGCCAAUAAAGACACAUGGAUGAGACCGAAAAUUGAUUUUAUGUUUGUUGUAUGGUCAUAAGAAAGGGUAGCAAACACAACCAAAAGUUUUGAGAAAAUUAUAAUAUGGAAUUUGGUGAUAAUUUUUGGUACGGAGAUUGGAAAUGGAGUAGAGAGGUGAUGGUACGAUUGUGAAGAUAUGUUGUACUUUUGAAAGCAUGUUCAAAAUACUUAGGAAGAGAGGAUUGAGCUAAGAGUUUAGGAACAAUAAACACACUAGGCAAGCAAAGAUUAGGCAGUGAACAUGAACCCACAUGAGAAAUAGGCAGAUGGUUACCAUUUCCUACUUGUAGCUUGUCAUCUCCAGUGUAGUCAUCGACAAUUGUGAGUUUCUGAAGAUCUAGAGUGACAUAAUUGGUGGCAUCGGUGUCGAAGUACCAGGAUGGGUCCAUAACAGUGGAAGAACUUCCUGAUUGUGCUAUAUGAGCCUGGCGUUGUGGAACUCUUGGAUUUGAACGAUGAGAAGGGAAAUCAGUGUGAUUUGCUUGCUGCCAACAAUCGAUUGCCUCAUGUCCUGGUUUACUACACAAUUGACAUGUGGGACGAUGACGACAAUUGUCACUGUUGCGAGUGGUGAAAGAGUCAAGACCUUUGUAAGUUUUGGAGAGGGACUGGUUAGAGAACCGAUUUGUAGUGAAAGCAUAUGAGCUAGAGAGAAGUGAGGUUGAGGUGUUGGUGUGUGGUACGACAAUAACAUGGCGAGUGUGUUCCUGUUCGAGGCGAGCCUCCUCUUGUAGAAGGAGACCAGCCAUAUCAUCAUCUGAUACGUCUUCAGAUUUCAUCAUGAAGGCAGUAGAAAAAGCACCAUUGGAGGAAUCAAGACCACUCAAUAUGUAGCCAACUAGAUCUUCAUCGGAGAUGGGAUGAAGAUUUCUCGCAAGAGAGUCAGCAAUGCAGCGUUUACGCUUAAUAUAAUUCAGCAUAGAAAGAGACCCUUUUGUCAAAGUCUAUAAUUGAACCUUCAUAGCCAUAUGAUGAGCUCUGGUGUGAGCUUGGAACGUAUUUUCAAUGGCAGUCCAAGCCAUGUGAGAGGAUGUGGCACGAACGACCAAGGAAAGUGCUUGCUCAGAGAGGAUGGAUUUAAUCCACAAUAGAACAAAGCGAUCAUGCUAUUUCCAAACACAAAUUUAGGGUUUGGUUCGGUGGUUGCAGAACCGUCUUGGUCAGCGACAAGAUGAGUUUCUCGUGGUGGAGAAGGAUGUAGAAUGAAAGUCUCAAGAUCGAAGGUCUCAAGAGUAGAGACAAUGGUAGAUCGCCAUAAAGAGUAAUUUUCUCGUUCAAGUUUAAUAUUGAUGGACGGUAUUUGUAGAUUCAGAUUGGGAUGUGUGGUGUUGGCAAGGGCCAAAAGGGAUUGAUUGGUAUUGGCCAUGAAAAAAUAGUUGAAGUUCCAAAGUGGCGAAGAAAAAAAAAUAUGUGGCUUUGGAUACCAUAUAGAGGAAUGAACAUUUGUGUAUAUAUUUACUGAGUUUGAGUAGUUGUUUUACAAAGAUAUUUAUACAGCAAAAGUAAAAAUAACUAUAAGGGAGAGGAGGCCUAAAUACACAGUACCCACUCAACUACAUACAAAGGAGUGGGAAAGAAAUAGUCAAAAAGUGCCUAGAAUUUAGGAAUGAAUAUCUAUAGUUGUUAAAAAUUGAAGUUUUAGACUAAUCUCUUUCAAGAAUUACAUUCAGAUUAUCAAUGUGGAAUUUGUCUAUAUCAAUAAAGUCUUUUCCAUGCAUUCGACACAAACAAAACUCCAACAUCACGUAUAAAGAACUCAUAUAUCUACGACUCAUAUUCAAAUAGAUCAAGUCUUUUCCUUAGAAAAAAACAAUACAAAUUAUAGGUUUGGGUAGGGCUGACAAUGAACCGAACCAAUUUGGUAUUCGUUUGAAACUCGAUUUAUUACUUAGCUCGAUAAACUUGGUUCAUGAACCAAAUGAGCCGAACUUGAGCUAGAAAUUUAGCUCAUUAAAUAAACGAGCCGAAAUUGAGUUUGAUACAGUUCGACUCGUUAGGUUCAUGAGUUGGCUCGAUAUANNNNNNNNNNNNNNNNNNNNNNNNNNNNNNNNNNNNNNNNNNNNNNNNNNNNNNNNNNNNNNNNNNNNNNNNNNNNNNNNNNNNNNNNNNNNNNNNNNNNCAGCAAGGGAAACAAUAUUAAUUUUUCCAUUGGACUGAUUGGAAGGUCUUUCAGCAUGGCCAAUAUGGCUUUAUAUUGAACAGGAGCAAAGCCAAUGACGUUUUCUUCUUCGCAGGUCCAUUAGCUAUGUCUUUAUCACCAGAACUAUUGACACUAUUUACAUUGUUGUUGAACUUGUAAUGAGGGGGAACCCACGCUUCUUGUAGCAUACAUCAAUAAUAUUUCCUAUCUUGUUGAAAAAAGUGCAGAUCUUUGAGUUAACCCAUCUUCCUUAGCACUAUUAAAACUGGAGCUCCUAACAACUCUAAAUUGAUUAUAUCCUCCUCUUAAACCUCUUCCUCUUGAAGCAGAGUUGUCACUUGUGCUUGUGAAAAUCUUUGAUUCAUCAAGUGGAAGUGUAAGUUCCAUUUCUUGUUGCAUAAGCAAAGAGAAAGCCUUGUUUAUGCUAGGUAAGGGAUCCAUGAGCAUUAUUUGGGAUCUUACACCUGAAUAUGGUUCAUUGAGUCCUUUUAGAAACCUUAUCAGAUAUUCUUCUUCUCUAUAUGUCUCGCUCAGGCAAGUGCAAGAGGUGAGGGGUCUUAAGUUUUCCAAUUCUUGCCAAAGACUCUUUAAUUGUGUGUAACUCUUAUAUAUGGUAAAGACUCUGAAAUAUGUUACCUUGGUAAUACCUCUCCUUGAGAUCCUUCCAUAUUUCAUAUGCAUUUUCAAGCCAAAGAACACUCUAACUAAUGGAUCGAUCUAGUGAGUGAUUUAUCCAGGACAUCAUCAAGGUAUUGCACCAAUCCCGUGCUCCAAAAUUGGGAUCUUCAAGAUUUGAUUUAGGUAGGAUGUCAUCCAAAAUUGAAAUUUGUUCUUGGUUUUGAGUGCCAUCAGCAUGUCUAUGGACCUAGAGUGAUAAUUUACUCUUGUUAGAUGCUUUUUCACCAAGCUGCAACUUGGGCUCUCAUUAGGAUGAAGAUAAUAUGGACUGAAUAGAUCUGUGAGGGGAUUCAUGAUUGCAAUUGUAUUAGACAUUUAUGAAAAGGAGAGGAAUAGUGAAAGAUAGAAAAGAUUAGGCAGGUAGAGAAAAGAUCAUACAAUAUAUGUGCAACAGAGCAUCAAUUGAUGCUAUGAUACCAUAUUAGAACUCGAUGAUCAUUAUUAGAAUAUCAACACAUAAAGAAAGAGAGAAUUCAAUAACAAGUAUGGUAAAAACAUCAAGAAUGAUAAGUGGAUGAAUAAUUAUUUCAUUAAUUAAUUAUGCCAUAUGAGAGUUACAAUUUGUAAGAAGAGUGUGGUCAAAACGUACCACCCUUCUAUAAUCAAUUCUAAAUAGAAAAAUUAACAAACUAAUAACCAAAAAAUUACAAAGCCUAACUAAUCUAAUCACAUGAUUCCACGAUUGCUUGACAAAGAAUUAAUCUGUUUACAACAAAAAUAAGUGCUUGACAAAAUGUUCGAAUGAGCUCCACAACCAUGUUCAGGAUAAGGCAAAUAGCAAAUGCAUGAUUAUAUCGUCAAGUAAUAAAAUAUCUAUCCCACGAGGGCUGAAAAAUUCAUUUAAUUAUAACAAUUAAUUUAUACUUAACUCAAAGAAGAAUUAAAAGUGAAUUUAGAAUAAUUGAACAGUUGACAAGAACAAUUAUGAAAAUAUUAAAAAUGAUUGAAAUCUAUUUUAGGAAGAGUUCCCAAGAUAAGGGUUACCACCUUUAGACUCGCAAAUCAUUGUUUUGAUCAUUUUCAUGAACUUUAAGUUGUGAUGGUGAAUUGCUCGUUGAUAUGUGUCAUCCUCUCUCGAGCUCCGACACGUGUACUCAAUUGAAGUGCACAUACUCUCGUGGUAUUGUUAUCAAUAAAAUCAUUUACUUGGAUCUUUAUAUCAAAUCGCUUCGUAACAACCCAAGGUGAAUUCCAUAAACCCUCGAGAAUCCUAAUAUCACUCUUGUGAAUUAGGAUUCUAGUUUGAAUAACUGAACAGUUAAAUAGUUUGAUUCACCUAUCGGUCCUUCCCCAAUGUAUCUAAGAGGUGUAAUUUGUUGGCCAGGAAACUUACACGAAUAAAAUUCAGUUUAAUGAUUCAAAUCACGAUACUCAAUAAAGUAGAAGUAAGAACAAGUGUUUAUUAAAUGUAAAAGGGCAUAGCCCCAAUCCUAGAAACAUAAGGAAUUACUCACUCAUGAUGGAGAAGAGAAUACCAAAUUCUAAAUUAGAGAAUUGUAAUGUAAAGCAUCUUCAAUCCUUGAGGGGAACCCUCAUUUAUCCUAAUUACAAAAUAUUGGGCUAAGUCCAACAAAACAAAUCUAAAAAAUAGGAAUAGAAUAUAACAUUCACGACCGUGGGUGUAUGUGGUGCCUUCACUUCAAAUUCCUUCUCUUCUAUCCAAACUCUAAGCCGACUNNNNNNNNNNNNNNNNNNNNNNNNNNNNNNNNNNNNNNNNNNNNNNNNNNNNNNNNNNNNNNNNNNNNNNNNNNNNNNNNNNNNNNNNNNNNNNNNNNNNUCAAGCAAGUAUUAUGUCUAACUUUCACAAUCAUGUAUGAAUGAUGAUAUAGAAACCAUGACCCAAAAUAAAAACAAUCUCAUGUUAGUUUUGAAACAAUCCAGACAUCAAGACAAGACAAUCAUAAACAAAUUUAAUUCAAGCUAAGUCCUUGAGUCAUAACAAUUGUAUGAUUUAGGGUCACUUUUCUUUCAUCACUCUCAUGUGUUUAAAGGUUAUAGUAUUUCGCUCAAAUUUUCAUGAAAGUAAAUUACCAUAGGCUUGAUUAUAGACCAAAUCAUCACUAACUUUAUUUGAAUGCUUGCAAAAAUCAAGAGGUCUUUAAAUGAUUAUAAUGAUGCAAAUAUGAAUGAUUUAAGGUGGGAUAAACAAUGAAAGGGUACUUCAAAAAACUUACAAAUGUUUCCCAAAAUACUUAGAAUUUUUAGACAUCUGAUUGAAACAUUGAAAUUCUCUUAAUAGGCCUUACUUUAUCAUAUUAUUGUUUUUCAAUCAACCCUUCUUUUUAAAAUAUACCUUUUCAAUCAUUUCUCCUUUAAUAUACUUUGUAUUAUUUUUUUUCAUUUUUUUAUUCAUUGUUAUUAUUAUUUUCUAAAAGAAAAAUGAUGAUUUUUUCCUUUUCACAUUUUUAUGGUUUUUUUCACUAUACAUGGCCUUUGUAUCUUUCUCAUUGCUUCAACCAAACAUCACAAAUUACCACAAACCCUCAUUUGAGUAGAUAUGAAAAAUCAUUAAAGUUCAGUAUAUACUUUUAUCCUUAGAGUUCAGUAAAGUUCAAGACAAAUAGAGUCUAAGUCUUCAAUAUAUACUUUUAUCCUUUACACUCUAGUAUGUUUAGUGAACAAUGUUCAAGUGGAAAAUAAAUUUAUUUUGAAAUGAAAUUGGAAAACUCUUAGACAAUAUAAGCAAUUUUCAAAAUGCUACAUAGCAAGUUACUUGACCUGAGUAACAAGUUACUAGAACUAGGUAACAUGUUACUUCAACUAUGCAACAGUGAGUAACAGGUUAUAGAGACUGUGUAAAAGGUUACAUAACUGAGUAAAAAGUUAACCAGCAAAUUUAACAUAGUGUAACUGAUUAUUCGUCAAACAGAGAGUUUGGGUCAAUUACAUUACGAUGUAACCGAUUACACAAAGGUGCUAAUAUAACCAUAAUUUCAAAUCCAAAUUGAACAAAUUUCAUCCAAAUUCAAUGAGUUUUUUCCAAUCGUGUCCUAACUUCGUGGAAGAGUAAAUUGGCUUAGUGAAAGCAUAUUUAAAGACAUUAAAAUACUCAUUUCGAAAUGAUUGAGAUACACGAAAUUUUCACAUAGAAUUUAUGCAACUUUUUAUUCUAAACUUUCACUUUUUCUAAAGUUGCUUUAAUUGGAAGUUCUAAAGUUUUUAAAACUUAAACACUUCCAAGAGCAAUUGUAUAAUAAGUAUAUUGAGAGCAAAAUGAUUGAAUGUUAUAGAAUUGUUAUUUUAUCUUGUAAAUGCAUUCUUGCCCUAGAAUUUAUUCUUCAAAUCUUGUUGAAAAACAUGUCAUCACAAGAGUGUGGUGAGAAGGGGAAAGAGAGUAGUUAGAAAGGUUGUUUCCCAAGGUUGUAAUGUAUUUCUGAGUGAGCAAGGUGCAAGGAGUCUCGGAAAUAUCUAAGAAAGAAAUCUCUUGUGCUGCAAGAAUACUGGACGUAGCUUACAGUAGACAAGAAGGUGAACCAAUACAAAUAUCGAUGUUUUAUCUCUCUUCUCUCUACUAUUUCUAUUUCUUUUUGAAGUUUUAUUUGAUAAUCAUUCUACAACAUUUCCGCUGCAUCACACUCUGAUAUUUUCAACAGAAAAAUUGACUAUUACCCCCAACAAUUAAUUUACUCACUCUUCUUACUUGUCAUCUAAUACUUACAAAAAUAUAUUUUUUACAUGCAUUUCAUUUCUCUUCACCACUUUUCUACAUAUUGAACAAUCGAUUAAGUUAAAAUGUUAUUAUUUGUAUAUUUUCAUUCUAGGAAAUAGAAUUAGAAAAAAUUAACUUUAUCCAUAUUCACUAAAAUGCAUAUCAUGGUGCAAUGUAUACAUGAUCUUCAUCUUCAUAGUCUUGAUUGAUAUUUAAUUACUUAUUUUUUAAAAUUACAUUAGGUUACAGUUUAUCGUGAUAUUUUCUAAAUAUGAUUACAUUAUUUUUACCUGCUUAGUUAUAAUUAUUAAAUAAUUUAGAUCCUAAGAAAUAAAUUAUAAUCAACUAGAAAACAAAUUUUCACUCUCCAUAAUAGAAAAAUAAUUAAUAUUAAUUAAUGGUUGAAAUUGAUAUUAUAUUUUCAACCAUAAUUUAGACAAUAUAAUGUAUUAUAAGGGCUCAUAAUUUAAUUUCAAAUAAUUAUUCUAAUUUAAUUUAAUUUCAAAUUGUUAAUUUAAAAUUUAGGCUGAUGUUAUUACGUUACAUUAUUAUAUAUUGCUAAAUUUAUGGUGUCAUUAUGUAUAAUUUAACUUUUUACGUUACUAUUUUAAUUCUUAUUAAAGUCGUGCAAUGUAUGUUACAUUGCUUACUACAUGUAUUAAUUUAAUUUAUUGCAUAUUGUCAUUUAAGAAAUCUUCAGUUUUGUACCAAUUUGAAAAGGAAAAUCAUUUUAAAAAUGAGAAUUAAUUUUUUUAAUUAUCAGUCGAUAUUAUAGAAUAAUUUGAAAUAUAAUAUUAAUUUGAAAAUCUAAACAAUGCUUUACUAGUGCAGAUUCAUAUAUUGUAAUUUUAUGUAAUUAUAUAUAUUAAAUUUCAACUCAUUUCAUAUCAGAUAAAUCUUAAUACAUUUUUUGUAUCCGUUAGUGGCAAAUCCUAUUGUUUUUCAUUCUUGAUUUUUAUAUUUAUUGCAUAAUUAUCUCAUCAUAUAAAUGAGACAUCCAUGUGUAUUUAUUAUUUAUGAUUUUAGAUAUAAUAGUUGUUGUGUUCAUUUUGAGAUAUAAUUGACGAGAUUCAAAAAUUACGUUUGGAGAUGGGUAAUGUUUAUUAAUUUUAUUUAAAAUUAUAUUAUAUUUACACAUAUUUUAUUAAUUGAAUUAAUUUUAUUCACAUAUUUUUUCUCUUUCUUUUUGUCUUCCAUCUCAGGAGUACAUAUUCUUUUCUCACAAUUUAUGUUACUCGAUGUGCUAUCGGUUGUGAUGGUUAGAAAAACAAUUAAUAAUUAAACUUUGAACUUAAAUUUAUUUUUUCAACCAAUCACAACUUAUGAUAUAUAUAGUUAUACAAAUUGUGGGACACCAGAGCUGCUCCCUUCUAUCUCUUACAUUCUCAAAUCUCUUUCUCCAAUUUCAUCAAAUUUCAUACUCAACUUCUUUGAACCUUCUCACGGGUAAGACUUUUUUAACAUUUUUUUCUCCUUUCAGUCACUUAUUUUACUCUUUGUCACAAGUUAACAUUUUGUCUAUCUUCCUUACAUUUAUUUCUCAAUAUUGAAUUUCUUAUAACAUGAAUAACUCAAGACUAAUACAUUUCUAAUAUAUUCUUUCUUUCUUUAGCCACUCGUUUUACUUUGUAACAAGUUAACAUUUUGUCUACGUUCCUUACGACUUCUCCAUAUUUAAUUUCUCAUAGAUAAUUUUUUCUUCUCACAUAACUUCUCUAUGUUUAAGUUUUCACAAGUAAAUUUUUCUUUCCACACAAUUUCUCAUUGUUAUUGAUAAGGAAAUUCAAAAGAAAAAAUGUUGGCUAUAUUAUUCAAUUUUAUGAUUUUAUAUUAUGUUAAUUUGGCUUCGAUAGAAUUAAUGUGGAAUGCGUUUUUAGAACUAAUUAUGUGUACAUUUUUAUUUUUUAUGAGUAAAUUACAUUGACACCCUUUGAGUUUUAGCAAAAUUACACAAAUCACCCCUCAAUUUUCUACACCUACACAAACCCCCUAAUUUUUAUACUUUUAUUACACGGAUCACCCCUGCAUGAGAAAUAAAUGUAAUCUUUUAAAUAAAAAAUGUGAUAAAUGUAACUAAGUUAAACAAAAAUGAUAUAUUGUGGAGAUAAGUCCAAAUAAUAUGAGUCGAUACCUCAUUAUUAUUUUUGGUUCUUUACGAUAUAAUAUAAGAGCAAUUUAAACAGUAUCUCUUUAGAAUUGUUGAUGCAUUUUGUAAUAAAAAAUAAUAUAGAUACAUCGAUUUGUAUAUUAUUUGGAUUUUUCCUCAUAGUAUACGAUGUUUUGUUUAACUUAAUUGCAUUUAUCACAUUUUUUAUUUAAAAAAUUACACUUAUUUCUCAUGCAGGAGUAAUAAGUAUAAUGAAAGCAUAAAACUAUAAGAGGUUUGUGUAGGUGUAAAAAAGUGAGGGGUUGUUUGUGUAAUUUUACUAAAACUCAGAAGUUAUUAGUGUAAUUAACUCUUUUUUAUCUCUUUCCCUCUCCCGGAGUCAUCUACUUUUGCCAUUUGUCAAGCAGUCAUUGACCAAGACCGCAUCCCAAGUGGUAGUUUAAGACUGGAUAGUGAUUUCUCCAAAAAAAAGUAGCCGCCAACAAAGACCUCAUGGUACCAAUUUUCAAGAGAAUGUUUCUAAUGUUGUUCUUGGUCACCAGGAAAUGGACCAACACAGUAACUUCCUUUUUCUUAUAAUAUGUGCUGCCCUUGGUCACCAAGCAAAUGAACCAACAUUGUAACUUCCUUUUCUUAUCAUAUAUGGCAUAUAAAUAAAUCACCUUACCUCAAUUUCAUUCAUUUACAACACUACCCAUUACAUUUAUAUCCUCAAAGCUGUUUUGUUUACUUUGUGAAAUCCAACUAAAAAUUAAAACUAUUAUUGUACCUCACGCAUAUUGCAACUUAGCUAGUGAGAAUCACUUACUCUUGUUGAAGCCAAGGAAGAAAUAAUAUGACUCUGAUCUCAACCUUCUUAAAUUGUUUUCUUCUCUCUAACCUUGAUCUGGUCCAUCAUGUUAGAUGGGCUUGGCUUGAUGGAAUUAUUUCAUUUCGUGCUAGUUAGGUUGACCAUAUUGUUGUUAAAUAGUGAUUUAAAUUAUAUUUUGUAAUUUUGUAGUUUUGGUUUUAGGAGUCUUCAUAAACGCAUUGUGACAAUAAUUGUGAUCACAUCAGUUACAAAUUUCUGCAAUUGCGAUAAAUUGCUAACCGUAAAAUCAUUUAUUAAAUUGUUGAAUCGGUUGUCACAAAUAAAUAUAAAGAGUUACCAUAUCCACAACGACUUGAGCGAUAUUAAGUCGUUUAACUCAAACUGAUAUCGUAAGUAUAGAAAUUUUUGAGACAAAGCUUUCACUAUCAAACUAACGUUAAACAAUUGAGAAACUUGUGAGAUGAAAGUUUUGGGAUUAUAUUUUACUAUUCAACUAUGCAUGUACAAUUGAUUCAACAACACAGACUAAUCGAACUAUGAUUCUUUCACCAACAAAGUUUAGUCCCCAAUGACUAGAUUAAUAACUCAAAAUUACUAAUCACUAAUUUCUUAAAUGACUAAAGCUAAUCAAUAUAGCUCUAUUUUCCUAACAAUUAUACUCAAAAAAUGAAGAUUAAUGAUUUAUCAAAAUAGCUCUAUUCCUAGCAAUCACAAAAUUGAGAAUUAUGAGUUAUCAAUGUAGCUCUAUUCCUAGCAACUAUAUUUACAACAUGAAUAAUGUGACUUGUUAAUAUAAAUCUAUUCCUAGCAGAUAUACCAUGAACUAUUUUAUUUCAAGUUAUAGAGCAUGAAUUCCUUCACACAUUCAUAACCUAAAUAACAUACUAACAGAAUGUCAAUCUCAAGCAAGCAUUAAGCAUAAAAACAACUCAUAAGAAUCAAAAGUGUGAAAAUUAAACAUAAAUAUAAAUCAAAGUGUAUAUGUCAAGUAAAUAUUACAUCUAAUACCAACAAGGAAAAACAUUAGUUAAUGGUUCCUAGAUAAAAGGGUUGAAUAAGAUGAAUGAUGCUCUUGAGAGAAGAAUUGGGCUCCUCCAAGAUCAUAAAUUGAUCUGAGAUCAUAAACUGAAUGAAAAAGUAAUACCCCUAGUGUAGGGGUGGCAAUUUGAUGGAUUUGGAUGGAUGUGAAUUAUAAUGGAUGAAUGGAAAGUCAUCCACCAAUUCAUAUAAAUUCAUAAAAUCACAUUUCUAAACUAUCAAAUCCAUCCAUAUUCAAUGGAUUUCAAUCCACCCAUUUUAUCCAUAUAUCCAUUUUAAUGAAUUAGAUGGAUGAAUAUCCAAUCCAUUUUUUUAAAUUUGAACUAAAACAUUUUUUGAAGGACAAAAAUCCUUUUAAAAUUUAUUAUUUAAUAAAUCAUUUUUGAAAAUCAAUUUAAAAACAUUUUUAAAAUGUUUUUUUAAAAAACACUUUUAAAAAAAUAUCAGUAUUUAAAUUUACCUGUGAAAGCUCUGAAAGACAACACUGUAAGUGAGAUCAAAGAUACUGUAUUGUGCAAUAAAACAUUUUUUCUUGUGCUCAAUCAUGACACAAAAUGUUAUAUUAAUCCUUAUUGAAACUUUUUGAAAGAAUAUUUUGAUAAAAAAGAAUAAUAUCAUUGAAGGAAUCCUUUUGUUAGGAAUAGAGUAGUUUAUAUCACUCGUAUCAAAAUAAGUUCAUGUCGGCCGGUUCAACCGGUACACUGGUGAAUCGGUCUUAAUACCGCUACGAUACAACAUUUAUAAUGGUCAUGGAAUUAUACUGGUAAAAAUCAGUCAUACAUUUCGAUUGAACUGUACCGGCCAUACCGGCUGGUUUCAUUUAAAAUUAUUUUUUAAAUGAAAAUGAUUUACUUUUACCAAAAUAUUUGUACGGAUGAUCAACCACACAACUACUAUAUUUUUUUAUACAUCUAAAACAUGGUCUACAAUAUACAUUUUUUAACAAGUGGUAUAAAUAAAAAUAGAAAUUGAUUUUUCAACAUUAAUAUUAGUAAUUGAGCGGGAAAUGUUGAGUUCAUUGUCUUCAUAUCACUCAACGAGAGUCUUCAAUUUUGUGCUUGUUGAGCGAGACCCUUGUUUUUUUGCUGAGAAUGUUGACUUCUUCACCUUUUCCCCAUGGAAUGAAAUGCAAAUGCACUUUUAAGGAUAAAAUUUGAUAAAUUUCACAAUAUAUGAUUUUAAACAUCAUAAAAGUGUCUAAAAUCAAUGUUAUAUAGGUAAAAUUGGCACACAUUGUAAAUGUAAUAUGACCAUAAUUUAAAACACUAUUGUCAGUACCAACCAUACAACACUCCAUAGCUUUUGCAUUUUUUGUUGUUGACUAGCCCAAUAUGCAAAAAGAAGUGAUUUUUGCAUAUACAGAAAAAACACUCAAAACCCAUCCAAUUGUAAUAAUUACAGCCACAACAAGUUUUGGAUAUGAGACAUCACCUUUUGGCUAUAUGAUUGAAGAUACUAGUUUAGAUGUAUGGUACUCAGUUCUAUAUGGUUUAUCAUUUUUACGUUAUUAUUAUAAGACUUCUUUUAUAAAGAAAUUAUACAUGGUACGAGAUAGACCAAACCCGAUAAGUAUAUAUGCAAAAUAAAAAAAAACAUAUAACUAUGUUUAAAAGAAUACCACAAUUCCAUGACAAUAAUUAAUGUGGAACUUAACUCAGUUAUACUUUCCUAACUUGAUAUGUGUACUUUAUAACGAUGGAUAUAGUUAAAUGUGAGUCUGAAACAGAAAUUUUGGUACAUGUUUGAUUAAGUAAUUAUUUCAUAAGUGUGAGAAUGAGAAUCAAAGAGUCCAAUUCAAUUAUGUUGUAAAAACUUAGAUUUUAAUGAGGUAAUUUAUUUAAAGAUGACAAAUACUAUCAUCAUAUAAUAAAAAUAUUUCACGUCAAAUCAUCAAAAAGAAAUAUAGAGCAAAAAUAUACCAUAAUCUAUUCAUAGAGAAUAUGCUGAAUGAACUUACACAUCUUUUAUCUUGUAUCUAAUUUCAUAUGCAUGGUACAACAUGUAAAAAAUUUAGGGUCUUUUUGCGAGUAUCAUUUUGAAAGGGAAUAAAUGGUAAUGAAGGACUUCAUAAUUCUUUCACAAGUGUAUUUCAUGGCUCUCAAAUCUUUCAUUUCCCUUUUCCCCUCCAAAACUCAACCCAUAAACGAACCCUUAGUAUUCCAAGUUAUUAUACACAAAUAUCCUUAAUGAUUAGAAUGACUCUUAUUUCUAAUAAAUAGAUUUUAGAAUAGGAAAUGAAUUGAUGGAUCAGUUCAUUUGACUUGGGGACUAUAACCCUUAUUUAUAAGAAGUGCAUGAUCUUUUAUAAGGGGGUGACCUUUAGAUUCACAUUAUUUUAUGAAGAGUAAUCUCCUUUGAAUUGAAACUGCUUCAUGAAAAGUAAUGCUCCUUAAUUUUCUUAUUUAUAAUUUCAAAUCACUCUAAUUUGGCUAUUUAAAACAAUGGUUGGAAAAUUUAGAGCCAAUUUCUCUCCUUCGUGUGAUGUAAAAUGGGGACUUACGGAAACGACAAGUGAAUAAAUAAAAUAGAUAAGUUGAAGAAUGACACUAAGAAUUUUUAACAUGGAAAAACCUUCUCAAAUUGAAAAGUAAACAACCACGAGACCUAGUCAAGAAAAAUCUCCAGUAUAUAAAGUAUGAUUACACUAUAUGAUCAUCUUUAUGUAUAAGAAGAUAACAUUCAAUCUCACACAAGAAUAGUGGAAUAUAAAUUAUAAAAAUAUCCAUCAAGGAAAAUGUCCAAAAUCUAUUUAACCUUUUAAUUAACUUUUGUCACAAGUGCUUCAGCUAUUUGAUAUGUUGGCACCAUUAAACUUUGAUUUUAUAUGCCUAUCAAAAAUUAGUUAAAGCAAAUAUGCCGCAUAUAUAAAACCCUUCUAACAUAUUUUAAAAAGAACAAUGUUAAUUAUACCAUUAAAUUCUACAUAAAAAGAAGCACUCACCAUUAAAAAGGGUUUCAAAAUUUCUUGAUUUAUAUUGUUUUUCUUUUCCUUAAUUACCCAAAAAUAGGGGUCCAUCCAUCUAUGUGUUGAAUUGAGCUCUAAACAAAUUAUUAUUGUUUUAAACGGCAAAGGGUCAUAUUACAUGUUUAGACAAAGUUAAAUAUAAAAUUUACAUUGCUUUCCUUCCCUUAUUAUUAAUAUAAUAUAAUUGCGAUCACAAUGCACUAAAUUCCAAAUACAACAUAUUCCAUGAUAUUUUCUUCAUUUGUCAACUUGUGCUACACAUCAAACUUGUUAAUCUAGACACAACUUGACCCUCAUUAUUUGUCAUCUUGGUCCUUGCUUUAAGACUUCAAUCUCUACUAAAUGAAACAUAGCUUAGUUAGCACUAAUGAAGCAUAGUAGAUGCAAAUUAAUUACCACCUAUUACAAGCGUGAGGGAUGAGAGUUAAUAGGGAAGUAAGAAACAACAAUUGGUGCUCCCUUUAAUUUUGAUUUCAAUUGAGACCCUUGUGAGUCUAUGACUUGGGAUGAUGAGGAUAANNNNNNNNNNNNNNNNNNNNNNNNNNNNNNNNNNNNNNNNNNNNNNNNNNNNNNNNNNNNNNNNNNNNNNNNNNNNNNNNNNNNNNNNNNNNNNNNNNNNGAUGCAAAUUAAUUACCACCUAUUACAAGCGUGAGGGAUGAGAGUUAAUAGGGAAGUAAGAAACAACAAUUGGUGCUCCCUUUGAUUUUGAUUUCAAUUGAGAUCCUUGUGAGUCUAUGACUUGGGAUGAUGAGGAUAAGGAGGGAGCAAAACAAUUGAAGAAGAAUGACGUUACCGACAUUUGGUAUAUUGACUUUUUUUCUUCUUUUUUGUUGGGGUUAUUAAUUGUGGUAUGGGUUACUCUUUGUAAGGAAAAAGAAGAAACGAUUGUAAAGAAAACAAAGGCAGUAGUGUGUGGUGAACUUAGACUUUGAAGUAGNNNNNNNNNNNNNNNNNNNNNNNNNNNNNNNNNNNNNNNNNNNNNNNNNNNNNNNNNNNNNNNNNNNNNNNNNNNNNNNNNNNNNNNNNNNNNNNNNNNNAUGUACUACCCAAGAAAACUUUACUAUUUAUACUUAUAUUAAUUAAGAAAAGAAGAAGAAAUGGGUGCCAUAUAUUCUUCUAAGAAAUAUAUUUAUGAUCCAUCAUAUUUAUAGAGAAUAAUAUAUGUCAUAAAAUAAUAUUUUGUUUAUUAAUAACUAAUAAUUAUUUCUAUCACUUUCAAGAAUUAUAUAUUGAUUUGAUCCAAAUGUAUAUGAUUAGUACUAUUCAANNNNNNNNNNNNNNNNNNNNNNNNNNNNNNNNNNNNNNNNNNNNNNNNNNNNNNNNNNNNNNNNNNNNNNNNNNNNNNNNNNNNNNNNNNNNNNNNNNNNAAAAAAAAACUCUAAAUCAUACUUCCAAGGUGACAAAAUCUACAUAUUCUCUUAAAACUUGUAUGAAUAUGGGUGUAAUGAAGGAAUAAUUUCAAUAAUGCAUUCCCCUUGUAGUUUUUAACCAUUACUUACUUUUUAACCUUGUUGCAAGGUUACUCAUAAUCCUAUGGUACUUUUGGUAUAUGCUUUAUGAUAAUCAGAAGAUAGAUUGUACUGUAACUUAUAUGAGUUAAAUCGGAAGACAAGACAAAUUACCCUACAUGUUUAUUUUCUAUUUAUAAUUUCAUAAACACUCUAACACAAGACUUUACUAUAACGGCCAAAUUACUGGUCACCAAGAAAGAAUGUAUAUAUCAGAAUAAUUAGGCGGAUAUGACAUGAAAAAUAUAUUCAACCAUCAUAAAAUAUCAAUUUAAUAUGUCAUUUUUACACACAUACAUUUUAAACGAAUAAAAUGAGCAGCCCACAUGCAUUACUGAAAAUUACCAAUUUUUAUGAUAAUUGACUUUUGUUCUUAUUAAAUCUAUUUUUGUAUUUGACAUUUAGUCCAAUAGUUUAUAUUUACGAACUUCAUAUUUUUUGUAUUUGUCUGUGAUUACAACAGUUAUCAAACCACAUACAUGAGGACGUGGAUAGUUUAGCUUUAUCAAAUGUGUUGUUUAGAAGCAUCUGUUGUACAUUUUAUAUGGCAUUUUUUUUACUUUUGUGGUUUUAGACUUUGAGAUGGUCACUUUAUGUUUGUAGUUUUUUUAAUAUAGUAUGGUCCACAAUCAUGCUAUGCUCAUGUUUAGAGCAGACUUAAUAUAAAUAUUUCAUGUUUAAUUUUAAAAUAGAUAUACUCAUAUUCGUCAUGACUAAAGUGGGAUUACCUAGGUACGGAGAAAAAGAAUAUGAUAACCUUAAUUAACAAUACUAAUAGUAAUAUGUGAUUUCUUUUAUUGCUCCCUUUUUAACCAUAUAUAUAAUGGGACCAUCAUCCCAGUUUUAAGANUUUAAUAUAGUAUGGUCCACAAUCAUGCUAUGCUCAUGUUUAGAGCAGACUUAAUAUAAAUAUUUCAUGUUUAAUUUUAAAAUGGAUAUACUCAUAUUCGUCAUGACUAAAGUGGGAUUACCUAGGUACGGAGAGAAAGAAUAUGAUAACCUUAAUUGACAAUAGUAAUAGUAAUAUGUGAUUUCUUUUAUUGCUCCCUUUUUAACCAUAUAUAUAAUGGGACCAUCAUCCCAGUUUUAAGACUAUUAGCUUUCAUUUGGUUGAGGAAGAUAGGAGAAAGAGAAGGAGAAGAGAAAGUUCUUCUUUCUCUCCUUUAGUUGAGGAGAGAAUAUAAGAGGAGAGAGUAAAAGAGAAAGUGGGACCCACCAAUAUUUGUUCUUUUCUUAUAUGAAGAGAAAAUGAAGGAGGAAGAGUGAAAGAGUAAAAUCACUCAUUUCUCUUCUUUUUCUAUACAACCAAAUAACACAAGAUUUCUCUCAUUUUCUCAUAUUUUUCUCUCUUUUCAAGUUCUUUAUCUAAUAUUUCUAUCUUCUUACUUUCUUCCAUCCAACCAAAUGAAGCAUUAAAUUCAGUCUUAACAAAAUUAGAGAAAGUCUUAAUGGCAAUGUCAGCGUGAGUAUGAUUGAGUACUUUAUUUUUAGGGCGGUGACAAUUAAAUAAUGAGUAAUGCUAUAAUAUCUUACUAAUUUUCUUACCUAUAAAAAACAAUAUAUGUUAUUUAUAAACUAAUCAUUAAUAAAUAAAAUAUCAACUUGUUAUAUGUGUCACUUUUUUAUGGGUCAGAGGAUUUAGUAGAAGAUAUAUCAUUUUCCUUAAAUGAUCACUAUUCUCGUAACAUAUCACUUAAUUUAUAUUAAAUUUUUAUAUAUGUUAUAGUUUAUAAAUAUAUAGGUUAUAUUAUAUAGAACACUUAGAUAUAUUACCAUAUUAUAUGUUUUUAUAUAUAUUUUAAUUUGACGAUGGCAAUGGUACUGAUAUAACACUUCGAAAAUAAAAAAACAACGUUAUACAUAUUAAUUAAAUGUAUAAAUUUUUUCUUGAUAAGUAUAUGUUUUGGAACAUAUACAUAUCCAUUAUAUCCUUCUCAAAAACAAAAAAAAACUUCAUGAGAUGAGAUAGAGAGAGGAAAAAGGAUUCCAUUAUGCAGGAAAGGAAUUGGAGACGAAAAUGUGGAACUAGAGAGGAGGAUUAGGGAAAGUUUAACUAUUCUCAUAAAGGGAAAGCUCCACUUGGCAAAACAAAUGGGUAUUUCAAUUCUAUGCAAAAGAACAUUAUUACUUUCUUCUUCACCAAUAUACCAGACAUUCAUGGUAUUAGUGAAAUGUGGGGUUUUUUCUCUCUCAAAAUGGGGGAAUGUAGGAGAGGUUGUUAUUCCAUUGAAGAGGGAUAGGAGGGGUAACCGUUUUGGCUUUGUCAGAUUCAAGCAUCAAGAUAGGAUUGAGGAUAUGGAGAAAGCUUUGUCUAAUUUGUGGAUAUGAAAUUUUAAAAUUACUAUUAACAUGCCUAAGUUCAGCAGAGAAGGAAAUUCGUUAGCUAAGACGGAUUCUACAAAGAACCCCUAUCCUAAUCAGAUUGUGAGGCAUCAUCAGUAGAAUCAUGUGUUACCUAUGGCUGUCCAAAAGGGUUCUUCUUGGAAGGACAUUCUUCUCACCAUUAGGGGGGCUGGGACUUCAACAGUUAGUCCCAAAUUGACAGAGCUGAAAUUCAAUGUCUCUGAAGAACAUAUGCAAUGUUGCUACGAAAUGUUUGUGGGAGUGCUUAGAAAUUGUGAGGAUGGCCAAGAUGUUAACAAUUUGUUGGCAUAUCGUGGUGUUUUAUCCAUUAAAGCUAUUCCUAUGGGAAGUAAGUUGGUAUUUCUUAAAGGAGCAAAUGGCUUAUACAUCCAACACUAUAUCAAUAAGGAGGAAGCUUGAUGCACAAAUCUUUUUAAAGAAAUAAGAAGAUGGUCACCUAGUGAGUUAGCCAAAGACAGGGUGGUAUGGGUGAGAUGCUUUGGAAUUCCCAUGCAUGUCUGGUCUGAGGAGUUUUUCAAGUUGAUUGCUGAUGUUGUUGGUCAAUUUAUCAAGGUGAGUGAAGGAACUAAGCAUAUGGUUAGGCUGGAUGCAGGCUUUGUGUUGCUGGCCACAGAUUCUCAUAUCAAAAUUGAUUUGGCCCAAAAUGUGAAGAUGAGAGAGACCAUGUGGGAGAUUAGAUUGACUGAAAUUGACGGUGUCUUCGAAGAAUCAUUUGUGAAGAACAAAAGCACGUCUAAGGAGGAAGAUAGUGCUACCGACUCGGUGGAAUCGGAGGAUGAAGAGACUUGGUCGGGGGUGAACUCGAGGUGGGGAGGAGAUGAUGGCUCGGAGGAUGACGACGAUGACGUGGCCGUCCUUUCAACUGGGGCCCACAUUGUUCAAAAGUUGGGCAAUGAGAGAGAUGAUGGUGACAUAUCUUCUCAUUCUCUACAGUCUAACACUAUGAAUGAUGAAGACGCUAGCCAUUUGUUCUAGGGAAUGGAAAGGUUGAAGGUUCACAUAAGGAAAAGUGCUUUGGUGGGUGUUGUGCUGAAUGAAAGAAAUGACCUUGGAUAGAGGAAUGGAGGCUCACAAUCACUACAUUUGGUAGAAGCUUUUUCUAGGGGUGAAGUGGAAGACACGAUUUUGGUAUUGGAGGAGGCUAAGGAGGGAGAGGGUCUUUUAAGUGGUGUUGGGUCUAGGGCUCCGUGUUGUACUCGAUCUAGACCAACUUCUGUUUUUGAAGAGCUGACUUUGCAGUGCACAAAAUCCCAGCUGGGCCUUGUGGGAGAAGCCUAUACAGACACUUUAAGUGGCCAAGAAAGAGAGUUGGUUUCUCCCAAUAAAAAAGGCAAAAUAAUUCUUUGUAUUGGCAUUAGUAAUCAUGCCAACAUGGAUUCUUUUUUCUGGAUCAUUCUUUGGACAACCCCAUUGAUGUUUAGAAAAGUAAAAAGGAUGGCUUGGUAAAGGGAUUUUCUUCUAAUUUGGCUAAGGAGAAAAACAUGGCUCAUAUGUCUAGUGAGGUUCAAGGCAAAGAUGUGGAAGUUUUAAAAUCUUCCAAUUGUCAUAAAGGUAGGAAGAAAAAAAAAACAACCUUUUUUUUAAUCAUUCUAUUUGUAUGCUGAAUAAAGGAGGCUUAGGGUCAAAGUAAUAUUCGAAGAAGGUUGGAAGACCUAAGAAGAAGAUAGCUAAAAUAUUGUUGAUGACAGUGUAGCCAAUCUAGAUGGAGAUCUUAAUAUUAGCAAAAAUCUGAAUUGUUCUAAGGUGACUGUUGAGGAGGGGGAGUUGGACCCAACUAGUAGUAAUUCCAUUGGUGACUCACAUGUUCGAAGUGCUAAUCUCCUUCACUUCAUAGAAGAGGAUUUGGUGGUGGAAAAAAUAUAGGAAAUAGGGAAAAAGGUAGGGGUGUCAUUGAGUAGUGAUGAAACAAUGAUGCUGGAAAGAAUUAAUGACAUGGAGGAAGGGAUAAGGUUGGUUUUUCAAUUACCAACCGAAGGGAGCAAAAUGGUGAUCCAUGAACUGUGCAUCUAUAAAUGUUAGGGGGUUGGAGACUAGGCUUAAGAGAAUAUUCUUAAGAAGCCUAGUAGGGAAAAAUUAUAUCCAUUUUUUGGGUAAACAAAAUGGGAGAAUUGCGAAACAGACUAUUGUUAUGAGCUUUGGGGUAAUUCAGGUUGUGAGUGGGAUUUUAUCCCAUCUAUUGGUUGUGCUGGAGGAAUUUUGAGAUUUUGGGAUAAAGCUAUAUUCUCAAGAUUGAGUUCUUACAAAGGAAACAAUUUUCGUGUAGUUGAAGGUGUAUGAUUCAGUUAGCUGGGAAUUCCUUGAUUAUAUGCUUGGCCGAUUCGGUUUUUCUAACAGAUGGAGGAUGUGAAUUAAUGCUUGUUUGGUUUCAACAUCCGUGUCUGUGCUAAUUAAUGGCCCUCAUUCUGACAAUUUUCUGUGUCUAAGGGUAUCAGACAUGGUGAUCCUAUGGCGCCUUUUCUCUUUCUUUUGGUGGCAGAAGGUUUUGCUGGUUUGGUUAGAAAAGCUAGAUCUAUCGAUUUAUUUGAAGGGUACAAAGUGGGGAGAUUCGAGGUGGAGAUUACUGACCUUCAGUUUGCAGAUGAUACUAUUCUGGUUUGCACCCUGGAAGAGAGCAACAUUUAGUGUGUUAAGAGUAUUUUGAGAUGUUUUGAGAUGGUUUAUGGAUUGAAGGUUAAUUUUAACAAAAGCUCCUUGAUUGGUAUUAGAGUUCCUAAUGGUCUUCUUUCAACAACAUCUACUUUCUUAUUUUGUAAAAUUGGUUCUAUUCCCUUCCUUUACCUUGGAAUUCCGGUAGGAGCUAAUCCAAGUAGAUAAUCGAGAUGGCAAAAUGUUAUUGAGAAGGUGUCUUCUAGGCAGGUUGGAAAAGCAAACAUAUUUUCUUUUGUGGUAGAGUGGUACUAACUAAUUCGAUGCUCACGAAUAUGCCCAUCUACAUGUUAUCGUUGUUUAAGGCCCCAAAGAAGGUUACCCGAAAGCUAUUUUCUCUUCAAAGAAAUUUUCUGUGGAGUAACAAGAGUGGUGUUAGAGGUAUUCCUUGGAUUGCUUGGUCUGAAGUUUUUAAGCCCAAAACUCUCGGCGGUUUAGGGAUUAAGGAUAUUUUCAGGUUUAAUGAUGCUCUUCUGGAAAAGUGGAGGUGGAGAAGACUGACGGAUCCUGAUGCUUUGUGGGUUAGAGUGAUCGAUUCUAAGUAUGGAAAUAUUAGGGCUUUUAAUAGUAGCCCAACGACAUGAAGAUGGUGGAGUGAUUUGGUUAAAAUUGGAUCGCUCUUGGGUGAUGGGUCUAACUGGUUGGAGGCCAAUCUCUGGAAGGAAAUUGGCGAUGGUCUAAAUACUAGAUUUUGGCAGGAUAUUUGGUUUGGUCAGCAAAACCUUAGUGAUUCAUUUCCGAGAUUGUUCUUGCUUGCUUUGGAGAAGGAUGCCAUGGUCGCAAAUUGUGGGGCUCAGACAAAUAGGGUGUGGUCUUGGAACAUUUAGUGGAUAAGACGUUUAUUUGACUGGGAGGAGGAUCUUGUAAGGAUCUUGUAAGAAGACUUUAGUGGAUGAGUCUGACUCGUAUUUUAGGUAUUUCUUUUAUCACUUUGUCCUUAUGGGUGUUUUUAGUUUGAUGUAAUAUUUUUGGUAUUUUUUGCACAACAAUUUGAGCCUAUUUUGCAUUGAUUUGAAGCAUUAGACAAAUGUUUUAAAUUGUGGUCCGCAUGAUAUGGUUGCAAUAUUAUUGUUGUGGUGACUGCCGUAAUUAUAUUACAUGCAAUUAAAUUGUGAUACCAGAUCACAAUGAUGCGAUUAUAAUGGACAACAUCAUACUACAUUUGAGCCACAUCAGACUGCAAUACAAUUACAUCGAACUACAUCAAAUCAUAUUGAUACCAAAAAUAUUAAUUUAUUCACAAAAUAAUUUGUACUGCAAAAGCCACAAUCCGUAUCAUAAUGACCUCAAUAAUUAUAAUCACAGUAACUGUAAUCACAACCGUAACUACAAUUAAAAAAGUGAAAUAAACUCUUCAAAUGCAAGUGACAUAGAAUGCCAAAUAGGGAAAGAAGAAAUGAAAACCCAAAUGACCAAGGUAUUAAUAAAUUAAGCUCCGUGACUGUAAUAAACAUAUUUAGAAUUAUAUUUAUUGUGGAUACUUAAAAGUUAAAAAUAGUUUGCUAAUUUUUGCGUAAGAGUAAUUGAUAAUAAGAAUGUAUUUUCUCUUACAGUAUUUCAUAUAAUAAGUCAGUUUGUUGAAAUAAAAUUAUACUUUCCUACAAAUUCUCCUCCAUUGUAUAAAAAAAAGUCCAACAACUAUCAAGCUUUAUUUUAAAUAGGUUAGUUAAUUAUAUAGUUUGAACAAACGUAAGAAUAUUCUAUAAUAAAAAAGAACUAUUCUAUUAUCUAUAUCUAUACUUCUAUACUAUAUAUAAAGCCAAAAUAUAGUGUAACUUCCACCAUGGUGUAAUUUUCAUUUCCUAUUUUGCCCUUUAUAUUAUUCAAUUUUUACAAAAAACCAUAUAAUCCUAAUUAACCACCACCAACACAUUAAUUAACCACAUUUCUCACCUUAAACUAAAUAUUAUCAUAAACACAUAAAAAUUAUAAUAUAAAGUACACUGAAUACAAAAAAUAUAUUCUAAUUAGAAAAAAAUGAAAUAUAUAAAAAUUAAAUAUGUAGUAUCAAACAAUAUUGAUCGGUUAGCACGAAGUGCCUGUACACAUUAGUAGAUAUAAUUGAUUAAUUUUACGAUAAAGAAGGUAAGAACUGUUGUUAUUGUGAGAAAUCAAAAUAAUUAAUAUAAAUUAUUGUAUCUUAUUUGAAGGGUAAAGAUUANAAAGAAGAAUGUAUGUAACAAACUCAGAAAACAACAUAUUUUAAGAAAAUGGGUGUGAUAAUUUUGAUUGUAGGGUGUGUGGUCGGUUUGAUAAUCUUUUAUGUGAUUGUUUAUCUAGCUCUACGAUUUUAUAAUAAACCACAUAUUUUUCCUAUUACCUCCUAAUCCAGAUGUUGCUACUAUAUGAAGAUUACCACUACUAUGUACUAGUACUAUGUACUUCAAAUAACAUAAAUCUUUUCUCUCUCUUAUCCUUUAUCAUUCCAUGACAUAAUUUAAAAUUUGUGCUAAAGAGAUAGUGAUUUUUGUGACUCGUUCUUGGAUUCUCUUUGGAUAUGAGCUUUGGGUAUUGAAGACUCCAACAAUAUGAGUUACAAAAAUAUGUAUUUUAGGGAAGAAGAUCAUCUCAAUCCCAUACUAAAGAGAGAUANNNNNNNNNNNNNNNNNNNNNNNNNNNNNNNNNNNNNNNNNNNNNNNNNNNNNNNNNNNNNNNNNNNNNNNNNNNNNNNNNNNNNNNNNNNNNNNNNNNNAUUUUAGUUUUAAUGGCAAAAGUGUAAUUUCAUUAUAAAUAAAAUGGAUGUAAAUGUUAUUGUAAUUUGCUUUUUCUUUAUUUCAGAGUAUUUUCCUCUUUAGUAUUGGAGAUGAGUCUGACUCGUAUUUUAGGUAUUUCUUUUAUCACUUUGUCCUUAUGGGUGUUUUUAGUUUGAUGUAAUAUUUUUGGUAUUUUUUGCACAACAAUUUGAGCCUAUUUUGCAUUGAUUUGAAGCAUUAGACAAAUGUUUUAAAUUGUGGUCCACAUGAUAUGGUUGCAAUAUUAUUGUUGUGGUGACUGCCGUAAUUACAUUAUAUGCAAUUACAUUGUGAUACCAGAUCACAAUGAUGCGAUUAUAAUGGACAACAUCACACUACAUUUGAGCCACAUCAGAUUGCAAUACAAUUACAUCGAACUGUAUCAAAUCAUAUUGAUACCAAAAAUAUUAAUUUAUUCACAAAAUAAUUUGCACUGCAAAANNNNNNNNNNNNNNNNNNNNNNNNNNNNNNNNNNNNNNNNNNNNNNNNNNNNNNNNNNNNNNNNNNNNNNNNNNNNNNNNNNNNNNNNNNNNNNNNNNNNUUUUUCAACUUAUCACAAUUAAUGAUACAUGUGGUGACACAAUUUAUGAGACAAUGUCUGAUUACUGGGAUAUAUGUAAUUAUAUGUUAUCUACUAAACAAAAUUCUCAUAGUGAUGAUGGAAUUCAAACUAACAAUUUUAUUGACCAACUUUCAUUAUGUAAAAUAUGGGGAAUAUUGAAGACAUUGGUUAACAAGGAGAGAAAGAAAAGGACACAAUAUUGUGGAAAAGAAAUGGCGAAAUUUAUGAGAAAUGUUAUAAUCUCAUAAUUAAAGGGAUUGUGCUCAACUACUAUGUUUCUUUAUCAUGUUUGUAGAUUUUAGGGAUAUUAAUUAUAGGAAAUUCNNNNNNNNNNNNNNNNNNNNNNNNNNNNNNNNNNNNNNNNNNNNNNNNNNNNNNNNNNNNNNNNNNNNNNNNNNNNNNNNNNNNNNNNNNNNNNNNNNNNUAUAGGAAAUUCCUAUUCUUUAUUUCCUUUUAUAUUUAUCAACUCCUGCUUAUAUAUUGCACCUUUAACUCAUGAAUAAAAUUAAGAGAUGAAAUAAUAUCUCCAUACUCAACUUAUAUGGUAUAACAAGCCAAUUCUUCACCUUUAGGUGAAAGCUCCUCAAUACUUCCUUAUGGAUGACAUUGACACCUCUAUUACCCCUAGAAAUACUGAUAACCUAAAAAAAGCCAUCCUUCAUUGUUCCACCCCACAUCAAUGAUCUUGACCGUUCCAUCAAAAUAAUCAAACAUAAUUAAAUUGGUUAAAUUUAAGGGAUUAGUUUUAGUCACUUAUAUGAAGAAGAUCUUUGCUCCCAACCUUGGCACAGUUUUGAUGAAGACACAAACAUCACCAAAAAGAAGAAAAGGAAUAAUACUUAUGAAGACAAAGAAGAUUAAAGUUUUAAGAUAAUUAGAUUAAGUCUCUAUAUGUACUUCUAUCCUAAAACUCUUAAAUAUACAAUGUAGUAAUGCUCAAAAUAUUUUUAAAGAAAGUUGAAACACUUUAAAAUACUUAAAACUAUUUUCAAAAAUAGUGUGUAACGGGUUACUUCAUCUAAGUAACAGGUUACAUGUGUGAGAAAAGAGUUAUCCAACUUAAAACUGUUAAGAGUAAUCCAUUACUGCCUUUGAGUAACAGAUUACCAGUUUUGAAAAGUUGAGUAACCGAUUACCCAGAUUGCUGUAAUCGAUUACUCUAAUUCGAUUUUAAAUGAACAGUGGACAGAGAGUUUAGGUAAUUGAUUACCCACUGUCAGUAAUCGAUUACUGAGAGUUGUUGCAUCAGAUUUCAGAUUUCAAAAUGAAAUGUUUUCACUCCAAACGAAAUCUCUUCAUUUCAAACAACUCAUACACUUUCAAAAAGGCACCAUGAGUGUUUGGAAAGUCUAUAAAAAGACUCUAACUCUCACAACACAAACACACAACAACACAAAACUCUUAUACAAUUUCCAAAAGCUCUUAAACUUAUUCUGAAGUUAUUUCUCUACACUUUUUGCAACCAGUCCUUAACUUUCAAAGAUUUCAAAGUUUUCCAAAAAGCAUUAUUACUUGGUAUACAUAAAUAGUUAAUUGGAUUGCAAGUUAUACUACUUUCAUACUUGUAAAGGUAAUCUGUCAUUGUUGUACAUUCUUCAAUAUUGUUGCAGAAUACUUUCUUUCACGGGGUGUGAAAAGAAAGGGGAUUAGAAUCACUUGGAAAGGUGUUUUCCAAGAGUGAAUAAGGAUUAGGGAGUGUGUAAGGUACAUAGAAAUCUCGGGGUGAGAUAUUGUAAUUACAACUCAUAAUUCUUAGUGAAGAAAUCUCUUGUGNNNNNNNNNNNNNNNNNNNNNNNNNNNNNNNNNNNNNNNNNNNNNNNNNNNNNNNNNNNNNNNNNNNNNNNNNNNNNNNNNNNNNNNNNNNNNNNNNNNNCAAAUAGUGACUUAAACUUGAAAGUUCUAAGAUCACUCACCAGAACAUGGCAACCAAAGGUAACUACAAUUUCUGAAAAGAAAAGUUUAUCCAAAAUGUCUUUGGCUGCGUUGUUUGGAAAACUGCAGGAAGAUGGACUAGAACUUAGCCAACUUGAUCAAUAUGAGGAGCAAGAAAAGAAGAAGGAGAAUAUUUCUCUAAAAGCAAAAGUGGAUAGAUAUGACUCAUCUAGAGAUGAAUCAAAAAAAGAUGAUACGGAAGAUAUGAGUCUCUUCGUGAAGAACAAUGACGCCUCAACCUCAAAUCAAAAUUUUACAUGUUUUGAAUGUGGCAAACCUGGUCACAUGAAGAUGGACUGUCCAAAUUUCAAAAAGAGUUCUUUCAAAGGAAAAAAUGACAUAAAGACUGGACGAAGAUCAUACAUUACUUGGGAAGACAAUGAUAUCGGUUCUGCAUCUGAAACAGAAAAUGAAGAGCAAACACAUCUAUCACUUAUGGCAUCUCAUCAUUCUUAUGAUGAAGAGGUAAACAACUCUAAUCUAUUUUCUUCUUCUGAACUUCAAUCUGCAUUUAAUGACUUGCAUGAUGAAUAUGUCAAAUUACCAAAAAUGUUUCUAAAACAAAAGUCUGAGUUAGAUGCAUUUAGAAACAAACCUUCAUCAUCCUCUUAUUAAAACUACAUCACUCUUGAAAACAAAGUAUCAACAUUAUGUAUUGAACUUAAUAAGCUAAACAAGCAUGGUAAAAGUUUAGAAAAGAUUAUUAUUAAUGAUCAAAGACACNNNNNNNNNNNNNNNNNNNNNNNNNNNNNNNNNNNNNNNNNNNNNNNNNNNNNNNNNNNNNNNNNNNNNNNNNNNNNNNNNNNNNNNNNNNNNNNNNNNNAGUAGGGAUUAUAUUUGUAAGUGAACAAAACUGAAAUGAUAGAGUUGUAAUGGCGGCUUGUGUUGUUAAUGAAUUGAACUAAGCAAACUUGACUAUUUAAUUUAUAGCAUCAUAUGAUAUUAUAAAAAGAAUAAUAUUAUGUUUAGUCUAUUUACUUGGCAAACAAGGACAAUAUGUACUACCCAAGAAAACUUUACUAUUUAUACUUGUAUUAAUUAAGAAAAGAAGAAGAAAUGGAUGUGAUAUAUUCUUCUAUGAAAUAAAUUUAUGAACCACCAUAUUUAUAGAGAAUUAUAUAUUGCUAAUUCAAUAUUAGAGUCGCCAAUGGUUAGGGUGUGACAACCUAAUCUCUUUUAUGGCCGUAAUAUUGUUAAAGUAAUGAAUAUAAGUGUUCAUCAUUCUACCAUUUUAGGAUAUACACUACAAGGAAGAUUUCAGAUCUUGGUGUUUGGGGUUAACCAAAGUAAAAGAAGGAAUGACAUAUUUACAUGAUUAUAAAAGAAGUAAGUUGUAACUAGAAUAUUCUUGAAACCAUUAUACCGGUGUUGGAAUUAAUUUCAACAAAGUCGAGAUGACGAACAAAGAAUAAAACCGAGUUCUCUUACUUAAUUAAACAAAAUGAACAUAACGAAAAUGAGAGUACUAAUCUUUCAAUAAAUUGGCACUGUUGUUAGGACGAUUUGUUGAGAGGAGAAAACUCCCAAUAUAACACCAAGAAACUGGCUUUCAACAAAUUGGCGCCGUUGCCGGGGAAUUGCUUUAAUAAUAAAACAUUUCAUAUUUAUAUGACAUUAAUCAAAUAAUUGUGCGUAAACUUAUUUUUCUUUCGUACAAAUUAUUUCUUUUGGACUUUGUACAAAAAUGUUAAUUAUUAAAUAUAUAUAUUUUAAUUUCUGCAAAGAUGUACAUUAUGAUUUCUUUACAUACUAAUCUCCUUUCUUUUUGGAAAUAGACAAAAUGAUUCGUUUUGAUCUUAAAUUUUCAGAUAUGGACCAACAUGUUGAUCUGCAACAAGAAGUUGAGCAAUUCAUCAUAGAAUUUCAAUCCAAGCUCAAUAUGGUCCAUCAAAAAAUUCAAGAUCUUCAUGAACAAAUAAAGCAAACCAACAGAGCAAGUUCUUGGUGCAAUAUUUGUGCAAACAAUCAAAAUGUCUAUGCUUUCCAAUCAACUUCCACUUAUCUUGACGAAUUGGAGAAAAUUCUUGACCAAUUCAUCCAAACCACUAUCAACCAUCAACAAAACACCAAGGACGCUAUCAUAAAAAUAGAAGAACAAAUCAACAAAAAGAUAGUUAAAAGCCAAAAGUGUUACAACUCGAAGUGGAAAGAUAGUUGGUGGAGUUGAAAAACAAAAAGGAAGAUUAGAUGAAAAAAAUAAUAAAGAAGAAAAAGAAAAUAAAAAAGAAGGAAAAGAAAAAGAGACUAGUGAGGUAAGAAAAGAAGAAAAUCCAUCCUCACUAGUACAGAAAAAAAUACCCUACCCAAUAGCUCCGUUAAAAGCCAAAAGAGAAGAACAGUUCGCAAGAUUCAUGGAAAUAUUCAAAACUCUGCAAAUCAACAUCCCUUUUGCUAAGGCCUUGGAGAAAAUGCCAAUUUACUACAAGUUCAUGAAAGAACUGCUAUCCAAAAAACGGAGUUAUCAAGAAAAAGAAAUUGUUUCACUCAAUGCCACUUGUAGUGCGAUUCUUCAAACAAACAUUCCUCACAAAUCUAAAGAUCCAGGCAAUGUGACCAUUCUAGUUACUAUUGGAAAUGUGUCCGUAGGCAAAGCUCUUGUCGAUCUUGGAGCCAACGUAAGCUUGAUGCCACUGUCCAUGAUGAAAAGAAUUGGAGGAAUUCAAUUAAAGCCUACAAGGAUGUCCUUGCAACUAGCAGAUGGAUCCAUAAAAUAUCCUGAAGGAGUUGCAGAGGAUGUUAUGGUCAAAGUGGACAAAUUCUUGAUUCCGGUUGAUUUUGUUGUCAUUGACAGAAUUGAAGAUACGGAGAUCCCGCUCAGUUUAGGGAGAACCUUUAUGAGGACAACAAAAAUGGGGAUCCACAUGGAAAAUGACAAAUUAUUAGUCCGAGUUGGGGACGAUGAAAUCGAAUUUGACAUUUUCCAUACAAUGCAUCAUCCGAAGGAUAAUGGGCAAUGUCUGCAACUAGAUGUUAUUGAAGAAAUUUGUGCAAAGCACCCUCAACUUGACAAAUCCUCGGAGAUACAAGAAUAUAGAGUGGAAGAAGAAAUCAUCAGACAUUUUUCUGAUGAAUUAUUCCUCCACCAAAAUCCAAGUGGACCAGCCGAAAAAUAAUCAGAACUGGAACUGAAGGAAUUGCCAUCCCAUUUGAAAUAUGUUUNNNNNNNNNNNNNNNNNNNNNNNNNNNNNNNNNNNNNNNNNNNNNNNNNNNNNNNNNNNNNNNNNNNNNNNNNNNNNNNNNNNNNNNNNNNNNNNNNNNNAGGAUGGACCUUAAAAGAUCUCAAAGGCAUCAGUCCAUCAUAUUGCAUGCAUAAAAUCAUGAUGGAAGAUGAUUACAAACCAUGUGCUCAACCACAAAGAAGACUUAAUCCGGCAAUGAAGGAAGUAGUAAGGAAAGAGAUUGUAAAAAUGUUAGAGGCUGGCAUGAUUUACCCCAUUUCAAAUAGAAAAUGUGUAAGUCUAGUCCAGGUGGUGCCGAAAAAAGGAGGGAUGACGGUGAUUCGAAAUGAAAACAAUGAACUCAUUCAGACCAGAGCUGUUACUGGUUGGAGAGUUUGCAUUAAUUACCGCAAACUUAACACCACCACAAGAAAAGACAAUUUUCCUCUAUCCUUCAUGGAUCAAAUGUUGGAAAGAUUAGCCGGAAAAGCCUUCUACUGUUUCCUGAAUGGGUAUUCCGGAUACAAUCAAAUUGAUGUGGAUCCAUUGGACCAAGAAAAGACAGCAUUUACAUGUCCAUUUGGUGUUUAUGCAUAUAGAAAAAUGCCAUUUGGACUAUGUAAUGCUCCUGCAACUUUUCAAAGAUGCAUGCUGGCUAUCUUUGCUGAUUUAGUGGAGAAAUGCAUCGAGGUCUUCAUGGACGAUUUUUCUGUAUUCGGAGACUCUUUCGACGAUUGCUUAACAAAUUUGGAGACAGUUUUGGCAAGAUGCGAGCAGACUAAUUUGGUUCUGAACUGGGAAAAAUGUCAUUUCAUGGUCACUGAAGGAGUUGCACUUGGGCAUAAAAUUUCAGCUAAAGGAUUAGAAGUUGAUAAAACUAAAAUAGAAGUGAUUGAAAGCUACCUCCUCCAACAAAUGUUAAAGGAAUCAGAAGCUUUCUCGGACAUGCUGGGUUCUAUCAUAGAUUUAUCAAGGACUUCUCCAAAAUAUCUAAGCCUUUAUGCAACUUACUCUUAAAAGAUUUUGUCUUUAAUGUUGAUAAUUCUUGUUUAGAAGCAUUUAAACAAUUAAAAUUAUGCUUGGUAACUGUUCAUGUUAUUACUGCACCUAACUGGAAAUCCCCAUUUGAAAUAAUGUGUGAUGCAAGCGAUUAUGCAGUUGGUGCAGUUCUAGGACAGAGAAGAGAAUGGGUAUUUCAUGCAAUACAAUAUGCUAGCAAAGUGCUAAAUGAAGCACAAAUUAAUUAUGCUACAACUGAAAAAGAACUGCUAGCAAUAGUAUUUGCAUUGGAAAAAUUUAGAAGUUAUUUGAUUGGGGCAAAAAUAAUUGUUUAUACUGAUCAUGUCGCAAUCAAAUAUCUUCUAAAGAAACCCGAUUCCAAGCCAUGAUUAAUUAGAUGGGUGUUACUUUUGUAGGAAUUUGAUUUAGAAAUAUAUUAGGCUGUAAUACAAUUGCAUUGAACUAUAUCAGACCAUAUUGAUAUCAAAAAUAUUAUUUUAUUCACAAAAAAAUUCGCACUGCAAAAGCCGCAAUCCAUAUCAUAAUGACCUCAAUAAUUACAAUCGCAGUAAGUAAUUACAACCCAACUAUAAUUAAAUACACUGAAUUAAACUAUUCAAAUGCAAGUGAUAUAGAAUGCUAAAUAGGGAAAGAAGAAAUGAAAACCCAAAUGACUAAGGUAUUAAUAAAUUAAGCUUUGUGACUGUUAUAAACAUAUUUAGAAUUAUAUUUAUUGUGGAUACAUAAAAAUAGUUUGCUAAUUUUUGCGUAAGAGUAUUUGAUAAGUAAUUCUGUAAUGAAAGAUUUAAUUGAGAAAUAAGAAUGUAUUAAAUCUUACAGUAUUUCAUAUCAUAAGUGAGUUUGUUGAAAUAUAAUUAUACUUUCCUACAAAUUCUCCUCCAUUGUAUAAAAAAUUGUCCAACAAUUAUCAAGCUUUAAUUUCAUUAAUUACAAUAGGUUAGUUAAUUAUAUAGUUCGAACGAACGUAUGAAUAUUCUAUUAUAAAAAAGAACUAUUCUAUUAUAUAUAUAAUUGAUUAACUUUACGAUAAAAAAGGUAAGAACCGUUGUUAUUGUGAGAAAUCAAAACAAUUAAUAUAAAUUAUUGUAUCUUAUUUGAAUGAAAAAGAUUAAAAGAAAUUGUCGUAUAACUAACAACUAGUUUUUAAUCUUAAUCAUUCAUAUUACGCUCUUAGUUUAAAACUAUUUGACAUACAUAUUUAAUAAUUGAAUAUUUUUAUCAAUGAAAUAUAACUGAACAAGGAAUGUGAUAGCAACCCAGAUAAAGAAGGCCCAACUCGGCCCAAAAGAAAUAGGCAAAACACUAAAUGGCUUGGAGAUUAUGUUGAAGAAAUUUAAUUAUAUUUACAGUUGUUUAUUUUCAAUUAAAAUAUUGGGUCUAGUAUGUAUGCCCAAUGUAGGAUGGAAACCCUAAAAACUACUUGAAAGGGUAUAUGUAGCCAGCUGGCUGCUGGAGGAAGAAAUGAAGUAUUAUUCAGUAUAUUUUCUAGUAGAUUAGCUAGUUAAUUUCCUCGCUGUUCUAAUUAUCUAACUCUUAGAAAAUUCCAUAACAUUUUGGUGCUUUCAUUCUUGCCUCAUGCCUCCUAAAAACUCCAAAGACAUAAAUGAAUCUCUUCUGCAAAUAUUUGUAGAAAAACUGCAAGAGAACAAGGAUCAACAGGAUAGAAGACAUGAAGCUAUUGUUGAAUCCCUCAGAUCUAUCAUAGAAAAGCAUGCAGGUAUUUCUUUUGUCCCACUUCAAUCACCUGACCCACACAAUCAACCAUCUUCCUCCUACAUUACACACUCAAACCCUCAACUCCCAAACCAAUCAUCACCAGCCCCACCAUCGCCCCCAUUUAACACACCCUCUCCAGCCCCUCCCUUCUUCUCACCUCAUUCCACAUAUUCUAAACGAACAUUCAACCCCACCUUCCUUUCCCCCCAACAACCACGUCCCCCAAAGUUACAAUUAAUCCCCUUUGAUGGAUCUGAGCCUCUAGAUUGGUUGUUUCAGGCAUAAUAAUUUUUUCAACUAUAUCAGGUUCCAUCUGAACAGCGUAUGCAUCUUAUUUCAUUUUAUAUGAAGGGAGAAGCAUUAAGUUGGUUCAAACGGGUAUUCUUAAAUGAAACUAUUAGCGACUGGGAAAGUUUUACCAGAUCCUUGGAGAUUUGUUUUGGACCAUCAUGCUAUGAUAAUCACCAGGCGAAAUUAUUCAAGCUUCGUCAAACUGGUUCAGUGGCAGAAUACCAGAAGUAGUUUGAGAAGAUCUGUAAUAGAAUUUGGGGUCUUUCUCCAGAGGUAAUUUUAAAUUGUUUUCUAUCUAGACUAUUACCAAAAAUCAAGAGAGAACUGGCUAUUUUGUGGCCCACUAAUAUUGUUGAAGAAUUAGGCGUAGCCAAAUUGGAUGAAUAAAAAAUUAAAGACUCAAAAUUCUCUUUCCCUAAACAUCCUCGUUACACACAACCAAACACUUCCACACCCCAAAUUCCCAUACGUCGUCUCACAACGGCUCAAAUGCAGGAAAGACGGGCCCAAGGCCUCUGCUAUAAUUGCGAUGAAAAUUUUCAUGCAGGACAUAAGUGCCAACGUUUUCUACUACUCUUGGAGGAUGAUUUCCUUACGGAAGCAGAGACUUAUCCACCUAACCUUGAAAAUAUGGAUGUUGAACCCCAAGACACCCAAGAUGAGCUAACUCAUUUUCAACUCUCUGAACAAGCCUUAGAGGGACAACCCUCUCCAAAAACACUAAGGUUUGAGGGCUUUAUAGAAAGACAUCCAAUGACGGUUUUGGUAGACAUUGGAAGCUCACAUAAUGUCAUCCAACCAAGGUUGGCACAUUACUUACAACUACAAGUUUCCCCAACGCCACAAUUUCUGGUCAUGGUGGGAAAUGGUGCACACAUUUAUUGUACGGGGUUAUGUUCAAACACUUCGAUGAUGCUGCAAAAUCAAUUAUUCCACAUCCCUCUCUAUUUACUUCCUAUCAAAGGAGCGGACGUUGUCCUAGGGAUUGAGUGGUCGCGUACACUUGGGUCAAUAACCUCUGAUUUUGAUAUUCCUUCCAUGUCAUUUAAGGUAGGUGACAACACUAUCACACUCCAAGGGGAUACUACUCCUUCCUAUGCACCCUCCACCUUCCACCAACUAAAUUGCCUAAUCCACAUUGAUGACAUAGUCUCCUUACACACAAUCACUUUCUUAACCCUUACACCCAGAUGUCCAUCCCAAACACCUGGUCAACCAGAUAUACAUCCAGAUAUCACCAACCUUCUCUCUAACUUCAAACCUUUAUUCCAACCCCAACAAGGCCUACCCCCAACUAGACCACAUGACCAUCAUAUUACACUUCUCCCAAACACAACCCCAAAAAAUAUCAAACCAUACAGAUACUCACACUACCAAAAGGAGGCAAUGACCACUAUGGUUCAAGAGAUGUUAAAAGAGGGCAUAAUAACUCCGAGUACUAGCCCUUUCUUUUCCCCAGUUCUACUUGUUAAAAAAAAGAUGGUACUUGGUGAUUCUGUGUGGAUUAUAGGGUACUGAAUGCCUUGACAGUUCGGGAUCAUUUCCCAAUCUCAAUCAUUGAGGAGUUGUUAGAUGAACUUGGAGUUGCCAUUGUUUUUUCAAAGAUUGAUUUGCGAUCUGGAUACCAUCAGAUCCAUGUGCAUCUGGGGGACACACACAAGACAGUUUUUCAAACAUUUGACGGUCAUUAUGAGUUCUUAGUUAUGUUGUUUGGGCUGACUAAUGCGCCAUCUACAUUUCAGGCGGCUAUUAAUGACCUCUUAAGGCCACAUCUACGAUGAUUUGUAUUGGUAUUCUUUGAUGAUAUACUUAUCUAUAGUAGUUGUUUAACUGAGCAUUUAGUGCAUUUGUGAGUCAUUUUGGACCUAUUGGUUUCUAAUCAGUUUUAUGCCAAAAUUUCUAAGUGCUUUUUUGGUGUAUCAUCUAUUGCUUAUCUUGGCCACAUAAUUUCAGCAGGCGGGGUCAAACCAAACCCCGACAAAAUACAAGCAAUGGUUGAUUGGCCACAACCCUGUUCUCUCACGGUCCUAAAGGGUUUCCUGGGCCUCACGGGAUUCUAUCGAAAGUUUGUUCAACAUUAUACAUCUCUCGUUGUUCCCCUCACAGAUUUAUUAAAGUUACAUCGAUUUACAUGGUCCUCAGAGGCACAUUCUGCCUUUACAGUUCUAAAAAAAGUUAUGACAACAACACCUGUAUUACAACUUCCGGAUUUUUCAGAAUCAUUUGAUGUGGAAACUGAUGCGUCUGGUGUGGCCAUCGGGGCUGUCCACUCUUAGAAGUGUCAUCCACUUGCUUACAUCAAUAAGAAAAUAUCCACGAGGAUGCCACACUCUUCUGCCUAAGUCCGAGAAAUGUUUGCAGUGACCGAAUCUGUUAAGAAGUUUGUUGGGCAAACAAUUUACCAUCUAUACUGAUCAGCAAAGUUUGAAACACUUGAUGACUCAAGGGAUCCAAACCCCUGAGCAACAAAAAUGGGCAAGCAAACUAAUUGGCUUUCAAUAUAUCAUCAAAUAUAGGACUGGUACCUUGAAUAGGGUUGUAGAUGGCUUAUCUCGAUGUUGCACUGAUGAGGUUUCCAUCCUGACAGCAUUGUCUUCACCAUUUCCUCAAAUAAUUGAUAGACUAUGUUAGUUAUACUCCUCAACAGAGGGUCAUACAUUUAUAAAAAAAAUGGAAUCACAUGGAUCUUGGCACAAACAUUACUAAUUAUCACAAGGGUUAUUACUCUACAAGGGACACAUAUUUAUACCUAGGUUGGAAAACUUGUGUCUCUCCUUGAUCUGUGAGUACCAUUCAACAUCAGCGGCUGGACAUUCCGGAUGGAAGGCUACCUAAGCCCGAAUCUCAGCCUCUUGUUCUUGGCCCGACAUUGCAAAACAAGUCAAGAAUUUUGUCCGCCGAUGUACUAUCUUCUAAACCAACAAGUACCUGCCACAAAAACCACAAGGACUGUUACUACCACUUCCAAUCCUGGAAAAAGUAUGGGAAGAUCUAUCAAUGGAUUUUGUGACCCACUUACUAGCAUCUCAUGGACAUACAACGAUUUGGGUCAUUGUGAACCGACUCACCAAAUACGCACAUUUCAUAGCUCUUCCAACAAAAUUUUCAGUAGAGACCCUAGCCAAUUGCUUUCUCACUGAGAUCUAUCGACUACAUGGGAUACCCAAGUCUAUUGUUUCUGUCCGCGACAAGAUCUUCAUCAGUGCCUUUUGGAAGGAGCUUUUCAAGCUGUUGGGAACCACCCUUUGCUACAGCAGUGUACCAUCCUCAAUCAGAUGGACAAAUAGAAGUCGUAAAUAGAAGUUUACAAACUUACCUUCGCUAUCUCACAAGCACACAACCAAAAAAGUGGAAAACAAAGUAUCAACAUUAUCAAAGUAUCAACAUUAUGUAUUGAACUUAAUAAGCUAAACAAGCAUGGUAAAAGUUUAGAAAAGAUUAUUAUUAAUGAUCAAAGACACUCAACAGACCGCAUAGGUCUUGGCUAUUCAAAAAGCCAUGUUUUUAAGAAACCAAGUGUCCAAAAGAAAAUAAUCUUUCAAAAGAAAAGUAUCCAUGCAUUUGAAAAAUCUAGGAUACACAUUCAUCAACCAACAUGCACAUACUGUAAAUUUCAUGGGCAUGGCAUGAUUAGAAAAUAUGGUGUACCCUUAGGAAAAUUUAGAUGGAUGGAGAAAGGUACUAACCACCUAUGAUCCAAAGAUUAUUGGAUACCUAACAAAACUUAAUUUGUUUUGUAGGAAAAUUUGAGAGCCGCCUGCAAUUUAUGGUACUUGGAUAGCAGCUGCUCAAAACACAUGACGGGCGAUNNNNNNNNNNNNNNNNNNNNNNNNNNNNNNNNNNNNNNNNNNNNNNNNNNNNNNNNNNNNNNNNNNNNNNNNNNNNNNNNNNNNNNNNNNNNNNNNNNNNUAUUCAAAUAACUUGGAGAGCAAGUAGAACAUGAGACAAUAAAGUUCUUUGAAAAUUCACAUGAUGGAAUCUCUUGUAGCUUUUUAGACCUUGUCCACUAGUAGGAUAUGGACAGUUAAUCCGAGAUGUUAUCUUUAACUCAAAAAUAAGAUAUACUUAAUACUUUCAUAAUUAUUGUUUCACUUGAUAUUUUCAUAAUCACGAAUGUUAUAUAUGAUAACAAUAUUGUUCUACUUGUAAUCAUUCCUUAACAUUCUCAUCCUUUUUUCUUGUAUUGUUGUUAAACCUCAUUAUCUCAUAAGCUUUAAAUAUUCUAUUAAGUCUAAAUCACUAACUAGAUGUUAAUUUAGGGAUAUAAGGUUUCACUGGAUCCUCAUAUAUUGUACUUGACCAAAAAGAUAAAUGUUUGAUUUAUUAGAGCAAUAUUCUUUGAAAGGAACAAUCACACACUCUAAAAAAGAUUAGUUAUUUAUUCGUAGGAUGAUUUGAUACUCUAAAUUAUAAAAAAAAAACUCUAAAUCAUACUUCCAAGGUGACAAAAUCUACAUAUUCUCUUAAAACUUGUAUGAAUAUGGGUGUAAUGAAGGAAUAAUUUCAAUAAUGCAUUCCCCUUGUAGUUUUUAACCAUUACUUACUUUUUAACCUUGUUGCAAGGUUACUCAUAAUCCUAUGGUACUUUUGGUAUAUGCUUUAUGAUAAUCAGAAGAUAGAUUGUACUGUAACUUAUAUGAGUUAAAUCGGAAGACAAGACAAAUUACCCUACAUGUUUAUUUUCUAUUUAUAAUUUCAUAAACACUCUAACACAAGACUUUACUAUAACGGCCAAAUUACUGGUCACCGAGAAAGAAUGUAUAUAUCAGAAUAAUUAGGCGGAUAUGACAUGAAAAAUAUAUUCAACCAUCAUAAAAUAUCAAUUUAAUAUGUCAUUUUUACACACAUACAUUUUAAACGAAUAAAAUGAGCAGCCCACAUGCAUUACUGAAAAUUACCAAUUUUUAUGAUAAUUGACUUUUGUUCUUAUUAAAUCUAUUUUUGUAUUUGACAUUUAGUCCAAUAGUUUAUAUUUACGAACUUCAUAUUUUUUGUAUUUGUCUGUGAUUACAACAGUUAUCAAACCACAUACAUGAGGACGUGGAUAGUUUAGCUUUAUCAAAUGUGUUGUUUAGAAGCAUCUGUUGUACAUUUUAUAUGGCAUUUUUUUUACUUUUGUGGUUUUAGACUUUGAGAUGGUCACUUUAUGUUUGUAGUUUUUUUAAUAUAGUAUGGUCCACAAUCAUGCUAUGCUCAUGUUUAGAGCAGACUUAAUAUAAAUAUUUCAUGUUUAAUUUUAAAAUAGAUAUACUCAUAUUCGUCAUGACUAAAGUGGGAUUACCUAGGUACGGAGAAAAAGAAUAUGAUAACCUUAAUUAACAAUACUAAUAGUAAUAUGUGAUUUCUUUUAUUGCUCCCUUUUUAACCAUAUAUAUAAUGGGACCAUCAUCCCAGUUUUAAGACUAUUAGCUUUCAUUUGGUUGGAGAGAAAGAUAGGAGAAAGAGAAGGAGAUGAGAGAAGAUGAGGAGAAAGUUCUUCUUUCUCUCCUUUAGUUGAGGAGAGAAUAUAAGAGGAGAGAGUAAAAGAGAAAGUGGGACCCACCAAUAUUUGUUCUUUUCUUAUAUGAAGAGAAAAUGAAGGAGGAAGAGUGAAAGAGUAAAAUCACUCAUUUCUCUUCUUUUUCUAUACAACCAAAUAACACAAGAUUUCUCUCAUUUUCUCAUAUUUUUCUCUCUUUUCAAGUUCUUUAUCUAAUAUUUCUAUCUUCUUACUUUCUUCCAUCCAACCAAAUGAAGCAUUAAAUUCAUUCUUAACAAAAUUAGAGAAAGUCUUAAUGGCAAUGUCAGCGUGAGUAUGAUUGAGUACUUUAUUUUUAAGGCGGUGACAAUUAAAUAAUGAGUAAUGCUAUAAUAUCUUACUAAUUUUCUUACCUAUAAAAAAAUAAUAUAUGUCAUUUGUAUAUUAAUCAUUAAUAAAUAAAAUAUCAACUUGUCAUAUGUGUCACUUUUUUAUGGAUCAGAAGAUUUAGUAGAAGAUAUAUCAUUUUCCUUAAAUGAUCACUAUUCUCGUAAGAUAUCACUUAAUUUAUAUUAAAUUUUUAUAUAUGUUAUAGUUUAUAAAUAUAUAGGUUAUAUUAUAUAGAACACUUAGAUAUAUUACCAUAUUAUAUGUUUUUAUAUAUAUUUUAAUUUGACGAUGGCAAUGGUACUGAUAUAACACUUCGAAAAUAAAAAAACAACGUUAUACAUAUUAAUUAAAUGUAUAAAUUUUUUCUUGAUAAGUAUAUGUUUUGGAACAUAUACAUAUCCAUUAUAUCCUUCUCAAAAACAAAAAAACUUCAUGAGAUGAGAUAGAGAGAGGAAAAAGGAUUCCGUUAUGCAGGAAAGGAUUUGGAGACGAAAAGGUGGAACUAGAGAGGAGGAUUAGGGAAAGUUCAACUAUUCUCAUAGAGGGAAAGCUCCACUUGGCAAAACAAAUGGGUAUUUCAAUUAUAUGCAAAAGAACAUUAUUACUUUCUUCUUCACCAAUAUACCAGACAUUCAUGGUAUUAAUGAAAUGUGGGGUUUUUUCUCUCUCAAAAUGGGGGAAUGUAGGAGAGGUUGUUAUUCCAUUGAAGAUGGAUAGGAGGGGUAACCGUUUUUGCUUUGUCAGAUUCAAGCAUCAAGAUAGGAUUGAGGAUAUGGAGAAAGCUUUGUCUAAUUUGUGGAUAUGAAAUUUUAAAAUUACUAUCAACAUGCCUAAGUUCAGCAGAGAAGGAAAUUCGUUAGCUAACAUGAUUUCUACAAAGAACCCCUAUCCUAAUCAGAUUGUGAGGCAUCAUCAGUAGAAUCAUGUGUUACCUAUGGCUGUCCAAAAGGGUUCUUCUUGGAAGGACAUUCUUCUCACCAUUAGGGGGGCUGGGACUUCAACGGUUAGUCCCAAAUUGACAGAGCUGAAAUUCAAUGUCUCUGAAGAACAUAUGCAAUGUUGCUACGAAAUAUUUGUGGGAGUGCUUAGAAAUUGUGAGGAUGGCCAAGAUGUUAAUAAUUUAUUGGCAUAUCGUGGUGUUUUAUCCAUUAAAGCUAUUCCUAUGGGAAGUAAGUUGGUACUUCUUAAAGGAGCAAAUGGCAUAGACAUCCAACACUAUAUCAAUAAGGAGGAAGCUUGGUGCACAAAUCUUUUUAAAGAAAUAAGAAGAUGGUCACCUAGUGAGUUAGCCAAAGAUAGGGUGGUAUGGGUGAGAUGCUUUGGAAUUCCCAUGCAUGUAUGGUCUGAGGAGUUUUUCAAGUUGAUUGUUGAUGUUGUUGGUCAAUUUAUCAAGGUGAGUGAAGGAACUAAGCAUAUGGUUAGGCUGGAUGCAGGCUUUGUGUUGCUGGCCACAGAUUCUCAUAUCAAAAUUGAUUUGGCCCAAAAUGUGAAGAUGAGAGAGACCAUGUGGGAGAUUAGAUUGACUGAAAUUGACGGUGUCUUCGAAGAAUCAUUUGUGAAGAACAAAAGCACGUCUAAGGAGGAAGAUAGUGNNNNNNNNNNNNNNNNNNNNNNNNNNNNNNNNNNNNNNNNNNNNNNNNNNNNNNNNNNNNNNNNNNNNNNNNNNNNNNNNNNNNNNNNNNNNNNNNNNNNUCCUAUCCUCGUCCUCUUCCUCAUCCUCAUCCUCCUCCUAUCAUUAUCCUCAUACUCAUCCUCAUGGUAUCCUCAUCCUCAUCCUCCUUCUCGUCCUCAUCCUAUCCUCAUCCUCAUUCUCGUCCUCAGCGUAUCCACUUCCUCAUUCUCGUCCUCAUCCUAUCCACUUCCUCAUCCUCCUCCUCAUCCUGUCCUCAUCCUCAUCCUCCUUCUCGUCCUCAUCCAACCCUCAUUCUCAUUCUCGUCCUGAUCCUAUCCUCCUCCUUAUCCUCAUUCUCAUCCUCAUCCUAUCCUCAUCCUCAUCCUCAUCCUCAUCCUCAUCCUAUCCUCAUUCUCAGCCUCAUUCUUGUCCUCAUCCUAUCCUCAUCCUCAUCCUAUCCUCAUACUCAUUCUCUUCCUCAUCCUAUCCUCAUCCUCUCUCUCGUCCUCNNNNNNNNNNNNNNNNNNNNNNNNNNNNNNNNNNNNNNNNNNNNNNNNNNNNNNNNNNNNNNNNNNNNNNNNNNNNNNNNNNNNNNNNNNNNNNNNNNNNUCCUCUUCCUCAUCCUCCUCUUCAUCCUAUCCUCAUUCUCAUCCUCAUCCUAUCCUCAUCCUCAUCCUCAUCCUAUCCUAAUCUUUAUCCUCAUCCUUUUCCUCAUCCUCAUCCUCAUCCUCAUUCUUAUCCUCAUCCUAUCUUCAUCCUCUUCCUAUCCUCAUCCUCGUCCUCUUCCUGUCCUCAUCCUCAUCCUCAUUCUCCUCCUUCGCCUCAUCCUCAUCCUCGUCCUCAUCCUCCUCCUCAUCCUCAUCCUCUUCCUCAUCCUCCUCCUAUCCUCAUCGUCGUCCUCAUCCUCAUCCUCAUCCUCAUCGUCAUCCUCAUCCUAUCCUCAUCUUCCAUCUAUCCUCUUCCUCAUCCUCAUCAUCAUCCUUAUCCUCAUCCUAUCCUCAUCCUCAUCCUCAUCCACAUUCUCAUUCUCAUCCUAUCCUCAUCCUUAUUCUCGUCCUCACCCAAUCUUCAUCCUCAUCCUCAUCCUAUCCCCGUCCUCAUCCUCAUCCUCAUACUCAUCCUAUCCUCAUCCUCGUCCUCAUCCUAUCCUCCUCCUCCUCCUCAUCCACAUUCUCGUCCUNNNNNNNNNNNNNNNNNNNNNNNNNNNNNNNNNNNNNNNNNNNNNNNNNNNNNNNNNNNNNNNNNNNNNNNNNNNNNNNNNNNNNNNNNNNNNNNNNNNNGUCCUCCUCUUUUCCUCAUCCUCGUCCUCAUCCUCAUCCUUUCCUCAUCCUCGUCCUCAUGCUCGUUCUCAUCCUCUUCCUCAUCCUUAUCCUCAUCCUCAUCGUCUUCCACAUUCUCAUCCUCAUUCUCGUCCUCUUCCUAUCCUCAUCCUAUCCUCAUCCUCAUUAUUAUUCUACUCCCCAUCCUAUCCUCAUCCUAUUCUCGUCCUCAUUCUCAAUAUUCUCCUCAUCCUAUCCUCAUUCUCAUUCUCGUCCUCAUCCUAUCCUCAUCCUAUCCUCAUCCUAUCCUCAUCGUCCUUCUAUCCUCAUCCUCGUCCUCAUCCUCAUCCUCAUCUACAUCCUCAUCCUAUACUCAUCCUAUCCUCAUCCUCAUCCUAACCUCAUCCUCAUGCUCAUCCUCAUCCUUAUCCUCAUCCUAUCCUCAUCCUCAUCCUCUUCCACAUUCUCAUCCUCAUCCUAUCCUCGUCCUCAUCCNNNNNNNNNNNNNNNNNNNNNNNNNNNNNNNNNNNNNNNNNNNNNNNNNNNNNNNNNNNNNNNNNNNNNNNNNNNNNNNNNNNNNNNNNNNNNNNNNNNNAUUCCUCAUCCUCUUCCUCAUCCUCAUUCUCCUCCUCAUCCUCCUCCUCAUCCUAUCCUUAUCCUCAUCCACAUUCUCAUCCUCAUCCUAUCCUCAUCCUCUUCCUCAUCCUCAUUCUACUCCUCCUCCUAUCCUCAUCCUCAUUCUCGUCCUCAUCCUAUCCUCGUCCUCAUUCUACUCCUCAUCCUAUCCUCAUCCUAUUCUCAUCCUCAUCCUCAUCCUAUCCUCAUUCUCGUCCUCAUCCUAUCCUCAUUCUCAUUCUCGUCCUCAUCCUAUCCUCCUCCUCUUCUUCAUCAUCAUCCUCUUCUUCAUCCUCAUCCUCUUCUUCAUCCUAUCCUCAUCAUCAUCCUCAUCCUCAUCCUCAUCCUAAUCCACUUCCUCAUCCUCNNNNNNNNNNNNNNNNNNNNNNNNNNNNNNNNNNNNNNNNNNNNNNNNNNNNNNNNNNNNNNNNNNNNNNNNNNNNNNNNNNNNNNNNNNNNNNNNNNNNCCUCCUCAUCCUCCUCUUCAUCCUAUCCUCAUUCUCAUCCUCCUCCUAUCCUCAUCCUCAUCCUAACCUCAUCCUCAUCCUCAUCCUCCUCCUAUCCUCAUCCUCCUCCUCAUCCUCAUCCUCAUCCACAUCCUCAUCUUUAUCCUCAUCCUAUACUCAUCCUAUCCACAUCCUCAUCCUCAUCCUGAUCCUCAUCAUAUCCUCAUCCUCAUCCUAAUUAUAUCCUCAUCCCCAUCAUCUUCCUCUUCCUCAUCCUAUCCUCAUCCUCAUCCUCAUCCUCAUCCUCUUCCUAAUCCUCAUCCUCCCCCUCAUCCAAUCCUUAUCCUCAUCAACAUUCUCAUCCUCAUCCUAUCCUCAUCGUAUCCUCAUCCUAUCCUCAUCCUAUCCUCAUCCUCUUCCUCAUUCUCAUGCUACUCCUCNNNNNNNNNNNNNNNNNNNNNNNNNNNNNNNNNNNNNNNNNNNNNNNNNNNNNNNNNNNNNNNNNNNNNNNNNNNNNNNNNNNNNNNNNNNNNNNNNNNNCUCAUCCUAUCCUCAUCCUCAUUCUCGUCCUCAUCCUAUUCUCAGCCUCCUCUUCAUCAUCAUCCUCAUCCUCAUCCUAAUCCACUUCCUCAUCCGCAUCCUAUUCUAAUCCUCAUCCUCAUCCCAUCCUCAUCCUCGUCUCAUCCUAUCCUAAUCCUCAUUCUCGUCCACAUCGUAUCCUCUUCCUCAUCCUCAUCCUCAUCCUAUCCUCAAUCUCAUCCUCAUCCUAUCCUCAUCCUCUUCCUCUUCCUCUUCCUCUUCCUCAUCCUAUCCUUAUCAUCACCCUCAUCCUCUUCCACAUUCUCAUGCUCAUCCUAUCCUCAUCCUCAUCCUAUCCUCAUCCUCAUCCUAUCCUCAUUCUCAUUCUCGUCCGCAUCCUUUCCUCUUCCUCAACCUCAUCCUCAUCCUCCUCCUUAUCCUCCUCUUCGUCCUAUCCUCAUUCUCAUCCUCCUCCUAUCCUCAUCCUAUUCUCUUCCUCAUUCUCGUCCUCAUCCUAUCCUCANNNNNNNNNNNNNNNNNNNNNNNNNNNNNNNNNNNNNNNNNNNNNNNNNNNNNNNNNNNNNNNNNNNNNNNNNNNNNNNNNNNNNNNNNNNNNNNNNNNNAUCAUCAUCCUCAUCCUCAUUCUCGUCUUAAUCCUAUCCUCAUCCUCAUCCUAUCCUCAUUCUCAUUCUCGUCCUCGUCCUUUCCUCAUCCUCAUCCUCAACCUCAUCCUCAUCCUUAUCCUCAUCCUCCUCUUCGUCCUAUCCUCAUUCUCAUCCUCCUCCUAUCCUCAUCCACCUCCUAACCUCAUCCUCAUCCUCAUCCUAUCCUCUUCCUCAUCCUCAUCCUCAUCCCGAUGCUAUCCUCAUCCUAUUCUCAUCCCCAUCCUAUCCUCAUCCUAGUCCUCAUCAUGUCCUCAUUCUAUCCUCAUCCUCAUUCUCGUCCUCAUUCUUAUCCUCAUCCUNNNNNNNNNNNNNNNNNNNNNNNNNNNNNNNNNNNNNNNNNNNNNNNNNNNNNNNNNNNNNNNNNNNNNNNNNNNNNNNNNNNNNNNNNNNNNNNNNNNNUCCUCAUUCUCAUCCUCCUCCUAUCCUCAUCCUCAUCCUCAUCCUAUCCUCAUCCUCAUCCUCUUCCUCAUCCAAUCCUUAUCCUCAUCUUCAUCCUCUUCCUCCUCCUAUCCUUAUCCUCAUCUUCAUCCUCUUCCACAUUCUCAUUCUCAUCCUAUCAUCAUCCUCAUCCUCAUUCUCGUCUUAAUCCUAACCUCAUCCUCAUCCUAUCCUCAUUCUCAUUCUCAUUCUCGUCCUCGUCCUUUCCUCUUCCUCAACCUCAUCCUCAUCCUCAUCCUUAUCCUCAUCCUCCUCUUCGUCCUAUCCUCAUUCUCAUCCUCCUCCUACCCUCAUCCUCAUCCUCAUCNNNNNNNNNNNNNNNNNNNNNNNNNNNNNNNNNNNNNNNNNNNNNNNNNNNNNNNNNNNNNNNNNNNNNNNNNNNNNNNNNNNNNNNNNNNNNNNNNNNNUCCUCAUCCUCGUCCUCAUCCUCAUCGUAUCCUAAUCCUUAUCCUCAUCCUCAUAAUCAUCCUAUCUUAUCUUCAUCCUCUUCCUAUCCUCAUUCUCGUCCUCUUCCUAUCCUCAUCCUCUUCCUCAUCCUCCUCCUAUCAUCAUCCUCCUCCUCCUAUCCUCAUCCUCGUCCUCAUCCUCAUCCUCAUCCCCACUUUCAUCCUCAUCCUAUACUCAUCCUAUCCUCAUCCUCGUCCUCACCCUCAUCCUCAUCCUAUCCUCAUCCUCAUCCGCGUCCUCAUCCUAUCCUCGUUCUAUCCUCAACCUCAUCCUCAUCCUAUCCUAAUCCUUAUCCUCAUCCUCAUCCUCAUCCUCAUCCUGAUCUUCAUCCUCCUCCUCUUCCUCUUCCUCAUCCUCCUCCUCAUCCUAUCCUUAUCCUCAUCCACAUUCUCAUCCUCAUCCUAUCCUCAACCUCAUCAUCGUCCUCAUCCUAUCCUCAUCCUCGUUCUCAUCCUAUCCUCAUCUUCAUCCUCGACCUCAUUCUAUCCCCAUCCUAUCCUCAUCUUCUUCCUCAUCCUAUCCUAAUACUUAUCCUCAUCCUCGUCCUCAUCCUCAUNNNNNNNNNNNNNNNNNNNNNNNNNNNNNNNNNNNNNNNNNNNNNNNNNNNNNNNNNNNNNNNNNNNNNNNNNNNNNNNNNNNNNNNNNNNNNNNNNNNNAUUCUCGUCCUCAUCCUAUCCUCAUCCUCAUCCUAUCCUCAUUCUCAUUCUCGUCCUCAUCCUAUCCUCAUCCUCUUCUUCAACCUCUUCCUCGUCCUCAUCCUAUCCUCAUCCUCAUCCUAAUCCACUUCCUCAUCCUCAUCCUCAUCCUCAUGCUAUCCUCAUCCUCAUCUUAUCCUCUUCCUCAUCCUAUCCUUAUCCUCUUCCUCAUCCUCAUUCUCGUCCUCAUCCUAUCUUCAUCCUCAUCCUCUUCCUCUUCCUCAUCCUAUCCUUAUCCACAUCCUCAUCCUCUUCCACAUUCUCAUCGUCAUCCUAUUCUCAUCCUUAUCCUCAUUCUCGUCCUCAUCCUCGUCUUCAUCCUCAUUCUCAUCCUCCUCAUAUCCUCAUCCUCAUCCUAACCUCAUCCUUAUCCUCAUCCUCAUCCUCAUCCUCAUCCUCAUCCUUAUCCUCAUCCUAUCCUCAUCCUCAUGCUCAUCUUGUUUCUCUUCCUCAGCCUCAUCCACUUCCUCGUCCUCAUCUUAUCCUCAUCCUCGUCCUCAUCGACAUCCUACCCUCAUCCUCAUUCUAUCCUCAUCCUUCUCCCCAUCCUCAUCCUAUCCUCAUCCUCAUGCUCGUCCUCAUNNNNNNNNNNNNNNNNNNNNNNNNNNNNNNNNNNNNNNNNNNNNNNNNNNNNNNNNNNNNNNNNNNNNNNNNNNNNNNNNNNNNNNNNNNNNNNNNNNNNAUCCACUUCCUCAUCCUGCAUCCUAUACUCAUCCUUAUCCUAUCCUCAUCCUCAUCCUAUCCUCAUCCUCAUGCUCGUCCUCAUCCUAUCCUCCUCCUCAUCCUCAUUCGCAUCCUAUACUCAUCCUUAUCCUAUCCUCAUCCUCAUGCUCGUCCUCAUCCUAUCCUCCUCCUCAUCCUCAUUCGCAUCCUAUACUCAUCCUUAUCCUAUCCUCAUCCUCAUGCUCGUCCUCAUCCUAUCCUCCUCCUCAUCCUCAUUCGCAUCCUAUACUCAUCCUUAUCCUAUCCUCAUCCUCAUGCUCGUCCUCAUCCUAUCCUCCUCCUCAUCCUCAUUCGCAUCCUAUACUCAUCCUUAUCCUAUCCUCAUCCUCAUGCUCGUCCUCAUCCUAUCCUCCUCCUCAUCCUCAUUCGCAUCCUAUACUCAUCCUUAUCCUAUCCUCAUCCUCAUGCUCGUCCUCAUCCUAUCCUCCUCCUCAUCCUCAUUCGCAUCCUAUACUCAUCCUUAUCCUAUCCUCAUCCUCAUGCUCGUCCUCAUCCUAUCCUCCUCCUCAUCCUCAUUCGCAUCCUAUACUCAUCCUUAUCCUAUCCUCAUCCUCAUGCUCGUCCUCAUCCUAUCCUCCUCCUCAUCCUCAUUCGCAUCCUAUACUCAUCCUUAUCCUAUCCUCAUCCUCAUGCUCGUCCUCAUCCUAUCCUCCUCCUCAUCCUCAUUCGCAUCCUAUACUCAUCCUUAUCCUAUCCUCAUCCUCAUGCUCGUCCUCAUCCUAUCCUCCUCCUCAUCCUCAUUCGCAUCCUAUACUCAUCCUUAUCCUAUCCUCAUCCUCAUGCUCGUCCUCAUCCUAUCCUCCUCCUCAUCCUCAUUCGCAUCCUAUACUCAUCCUUAUCCUAUCCUCAUCCUCAUGCUCGUCCUCAUCCUAUCCUCCUCCUCAUCCUCAUUCGCAUCCUAUACUCAUCCUUAUCCUAUCCUCAUCCUCAUGCUCGUCCUCAUCCUAUCCUCCUCCUCAUCCUCAUUCGCAUCCUAUACUCAUCCUUAUCCUAUCCUCAUCCUCAUGCUCGUCCUCAUCCUAUCCUCCUCCUCAUCCUCAUUCGCAUCCUAUACUCAUCCUUAUCCUAUCCUCAUCCUCAUGCUCGUCCUCAUCCUAUCCUCCUCCUCAUCCUCAUUCGCAUCCUAUACUCAUCCUUAUCCUAUCCUCAUCCUCAUGCUCGUCCUCAUCCUAUCCUCCUCCUCAUCCUCAUUCGCAUCCUAUACUCAUCCUUAUCCUAUCCUCAUCCUCAUGCUCGUCCUCAUCCUAUCCUCCUCCUCAUCCUCAUUCGCAUCCUAUACUCAUCCUUAUCCUAUCCUCAUCCUCAUGCUCGUCCUCAUCCUAUCCUCCUCCUCAUCCUCAUUCGCAUCCUAUACUCAUCCUUAUCCUAUCCUCAUCCUCAUGCUCGUCCUCAUCCUAUCCUCAUCCUCAUUCUCGUCCUCAUCCUAUCCUCCUCCGCAUCCUCAUGCCAACCUUAUUUUCAUGCUCGUCCUCAUCCUAUCCUCAUCAUCAUCAUCAUCGUCAUCCUAAUACACUUCAUCAUCCUCAUCCUAUUCUGAUCCUCAUCCCAUCCUCAUCCUCGUCCUCAUCCUAUCCUCGUCCUCAUUCUCGUCCUCAUCCUAUCCUCAUCCUCAUCCUCAUCCUCAUCCUCAUCCUCAUCCUCAUCCUCAUCCUCAUCCUCAUCCUCAUCCUCAUCCUCAUCCUCAUCCUCAUCCUCAUCCUCAUCCUCAUCCUCAUCCUCAUCCUCAUCCUCAUCCUCAUCCUCAUCCUCAUCCUCAUCCUCAUCCUCAUCCUCAUCCUCAUCCUCAUCCUCAUCCUCAUCCUCAUCCUCAUCCUCAUCCUCAUCCUCAUCCUCAUCCUCAUCCUCAUCCUCAUCCUCAUCCUCAUCCUCAUCCUCAUCCUCAUCCUCAUCCUCAUCCUCAUCCUCAUCCUCAUCCUCAUCCUCAUCCUCAUCCUCAUCCUCAUCCUCAUCCUCAUCCUCAUCCUCAUCCUCAUCCUCAUCCUCAUCCUCAUCCUCAUCCUCAUCCUCAUCCUCAUCCUCAUCCUCAUCCUCAUCCUCAUCCUCAUCCUCAUCCUCAUCCUCAUCCUCAUCCUCAUCCUCAUCCUCAUCCUCAUCCUCAUCCUCAUCCUCAUCCUCAUCCUCAUCCUCAUCCUCAUCCUCAUCCUCAUCCUCAUCCUCAUCCUCAUCCUCAUCCUCAUCCUCAUCCUCAUCCUCAUCCUCAUCCUCAUCCUCAUCCUCAUCCUCAUCCUCAUCCUCAUCCUCAUCCUCAUCCUCAUCCUCAUCCUCAUCCUCAUCCUCAUCCUCAUCCUCAUCCUCAUCCUCAUCCUCAUCCUCAUCCUCAUCCUCAUCCUCAUCCUCAUCCUCAUCCUCAUCCUCAUCCUCAUCCUCAUCCUCAUCCUCAUCCUCAUCCUCAUCCUCAUCCUCAUCCUCAUCCUCAUCCUCAUCCUCAUCCUCAUCCUCAUCCUCAUCCUCAUCCUCAUCCUCAUCCUCAUCCUCAUCCUCAUCCUCAUCCUCAUCCUCAUCCUCAUCCUCAUCCUCAUCCUCAUCCUCAUCCUCAUCCUCAUCCUCAUCCUCAUCCUCAUCCUCAUCCUCAUCCUCAUCCUCAUCCUCAUCCUCAUCCUCAUCCUCAUCCUCAUCCUCAUCCUCAUCCUCAUCCUCAUCCUCAUCCUCAUCCUCAUCCUCAUCCUCAUCCUCAUCCUCAUCCUCAUCCUCAUCCUCAUCCUCAUCCUCAUCCUCAUCCUCAUCCUCAUCCUCAUCCUCAUCCUCAUCCUCAUCCUCAUCCUCAUCCUCAUCCUCAUCCUCAUCCUCAUCCUCAUCCUCAUCCUCAUCCUCAUCCUCAUCCUCAUCCUCAUCCUCAUCCUCAUCCUCAUCCUCAUCCUCAUCCUCAUCCUCAUCCUCAUCCUCAUCCUCAUCCUCAUCCUCAUCCUCAUCCUCAUCCUCAUCCUCAUCCUCAUCCUCAUCCUCAUCCUCAUCCUCAUCCUCAUCCUCAUCCUCAUCCUCAUCCUCAUCCUCAUCCUCAUCCUCAUCCUCAUCCUCAUCCUCAUCCUCAUCCUCAUCCUCAUCCUCAUCCUCAUCCUCAUCCUCAUCCUCAUCCUCAUCCUCAUCCUCAUCCUCAUCCUCAUCCUCAUCCUCAUCCUCAUCCUCAUCCUCAUCCUCAUCCUCAUCCUCAUCCUCAUCCUCAUCCUCAUCCUCAUCCUCAUCCUCAUCCUCAUCCUCAUCCUCAUCCUCAUCCUCAUCCUCAUCCUCAUCCUCAUCCUCAUCCUCAUCCUCAUCCUCAUCCUCAUCCUCAUCCUCAUCCUCAUCCUCAUCCUCAUCCUCAUCCUCAUCCUCAUCCUCAUCCUCAUCCUCA